rnacentral:lncRNA from 1 species
UUGAUUUUUUAUUAGAAAUGAUGGAUCCCAAUAGGAAAGGAGUUGGACGGCUCAUCAAAAUAACAAGCUAAUAAUCCAGUGACUAAACAGAAUUUUGAAUCCAAAGCAAUUUACCAAAGAUAUUCUUUACAAGCAGAGUCGUACAAUGUUACCAAACACGUUACAUGAAAAGUGUGUUGCGAAGUUUCAAUCAAUCUGGUUUCCAUACACAAACAACAGGAGCAAAUCACAGUUCUUUUCCGCCUCGUCGAUGAGGCACACACCACACAGGCUCUUACCUUUCCCAGCUGACCCAACCAUUAUCGAGUCAUAAUACAUGACAAAGUCACUACAAGGAUGCGGCUUCGUCAAGUGCUGCUCGUUCAAUAUCAGCAACAGUCUUGCUAUUGCUAUUGCGCACGAGUCCUGCUGUUUUCGGCAGCCCUCACCUGGAGGAAGUAUGGAUGUGCCUGCAUUACACCUUUAAAAUUAGAACAGCAACCAUUGUAACUCCAAACAUGACAUCCUCUAAGCAACCGCACUAAUCAAUCUAUCCACAAACCAAAUGCUCAAACACAUCAUGCAGCACCAAGGAGCUGGAGAUGAGAAAAGAAAGUAUAAUUGCAUGGUCAAAUGGACAUUAAGCACAAUUGGCUGGGAGCCACUGAACAACCAGUCGAAAACAGCAAGACUUACCAUAGCUUCACGUGCAGUAAGCCUAUCCUGGUGAUCAUAGCGCAGAAGCUUAUCAAGGAAAUCUAUGGCCUAAAAUGGAGAGGAAAAGGCCUCGUUGAGAAACCAGGAACAGGUUACUGCUAGUAAAGUAUACUUGAGAUAUAUAUGUAUUUUUGACAGACCUCAGGGGAUACUAGAUGCUGGUUGUCUGCAUUGAUAAACUUUGACCAGGGUUUUCUGCUGUGCCUGGGUGUGGAAAUUAUAGAAACUGUAAAUUAGAUGACAAAUAGAGAUCUUGCAUCAAAAUGACUGCUGGGUGGCAAUAUACCUUCCAACAAGGGCUUCAAGCUGAGGGUCAAGCUCAAUUCUGUACUUGUUCAAAUAAGCAUUUAGCCCAUCUGUUCCAAGUACCUGUGAAUACAGGGGUGUGGUCAGACUUUAGCGCUCAUGUCAAGUUCAAACAGGACUACACAGCUAGAGUAAAGCUAGUAAUUACAUGUGAGCAUGAACUCUAUGCCAAAUAACUUAUUUGCACAGAGUAAUCACUCAGUCACUAAGGUAAAUAAUAGCAAAUGAUAUAUGGCAACUCUAAAGAAUAUCAGAUGCCACCAAAACUAAUCCUUUUAUCAGUUAUAACUAUCUUUACAAAGAAUAAAAGGAAUAAACUGAAUAAGCACCUUUGCAAUUUUAACAAGUUGGUCAUGGUUGUCAUGGCCAUAGAAAAAUGGUUCCUUGCGGAAUAUCUGCAACCAACAAUACAUGAUUCAUAAGAUCAUCAACAGUUGAACAAAAAGUCUGAGAUACAAAAGAAAGCUAUGAAUAAUAUCAACUGUACUAUCAUGGCGGUCAUACCAUUCCAGCAAACAUGCAGCCAAGACUCCACAUGUCCAAAGAGUAGUCGUAAUCUUGCAAGUCAACAAGAAGCUCAGGUCCCUUGAAGUACCUAAAUCCCAGUGAAAAAGAAAAUGUCAGCAAAUAUUUUGAAAAUGAUCAUAUGGAAAUAUUUGGAAUAUGCAAGUUACAUAAUGGAGCAUUAACUACUGUACGAAGCAAAUCAUUCACCACAUCACUCAUUCUGUUCAUGUGUAUUAUGACGUUGAGAUUUCUACAAAUGAAAACAAAUAUUACCAAAAGAAAUACCCUUUCCACAUAAACUGUUGAUUUAAAUAAACUAAAUUUUGGCUGUGUAUUGCCUCACAAGUGACCAGAAGAAGACCAAUUGUUGGGAAGUGCACAAGCAAAUAAGGUUAUUUGGUAUCAAUAAGUAGGUUUAAGAUAAUUAAAUAGCAACAACGUAUUUCUAUGUACCUACCUUGAUGCAACACGAACGUUAUACUCCUUUCCAGGAUGGUAGAAUUCAGCAAGGCCCCAGUCUAUUAACCGGAGUUUUCGAAGCUCAUGAUCUAUCAUAACAUUGUGAGGCUUCACAUCUCGGUGCAUAAUGCCUUGUGAAUGGCAGUAAUCCAAAGCCUGCACAUGAAAAUGGAAACUGUGAUAAAUCAUAACUAGAAUAUAGGAUACGAAACAUCUAGGUCCAGCAAUCAAAUUAACAGCAACUUGUCUUGGUCUCCUCAAAAGAGGAAAAACGCUGACUGGUCCGGUUGCUUGUUAGCAUUGAUAAGGGAUUAUUCAUCCCUUACUAUCACAAAUAUCAUCCACGAACACAAGAAAGGGUCCUAGGAAAUGAGUCUAGCCAGAUGUUCAAACUAGACAGUUACACAUGUAAGUAUUUAAUGUAUCUUCAAGGCUUUAUAAGAAGAGCAAAAAAAGUUAUAGAUGUUUUAACAAUCAGUGUUCUUGGCAAUAUUACAUCAACAGAAACUUGGGAAAGAUUCAUACCUUCAGUAACUCAUAGAUAUAGUAGCGAAUGUCAUAAUCUGUCAAUGUCGGAUAUAGCACUUUGAAAUCUGUGUUAUUGAUGUAUUCAAAGAUCAAGCUUGGUGUUUUUGAAUGCUGAUCCCUGACAAUAUCAAGCAGCUUCACAAUAUUUGGACCUCCACAGAGAUUCUGUAGUAUUUUGAUCUCUCUUUUGAUCUGGAUAAGCAUGACAAACGUGAAAAAACUAAAAUCAUAGUUAAACCGUGACCAUAUAAGGCACAGAUAAGUUACCUUCUUCUUCUUCACAGGCUUCAGGAUCUUAAUAACACAUUUCUCAUUAUUGUUGACGUUGAUACCUUCAAAGACUUCACUGUAUUUGCCCCUUCCAACUUUCCGCACAACUUCAUAGUCAUCCUGCUCACUGAUUGAAAAACAUCAUAACAGUCAGAACUCGUCGCUGGAUGUACUGGUCCAUUAGGACAUUCUGUAAUUUAACAAUCACAUGAUAUCUUUGAGAGGGACCAGAAGUAACAAAUAACCACACCAUUCAAACCAAAUGGUAAGUGUAUUAUCCUUGUGGGGGCAGGGAUACUUGCAGCUGGCAUGCUAAAAGUAAUCAGUUUUGAUUGUUCCAGGCAUAGGAUUUUCUUUUCCUGUUUGUAUGAUGGAGAUCGAAGAGAAAACACCUAACUAUUUUAAAGAGAUCUCAUGACACUUUUGGGGUAUUGUUACAUCAAAAUAAAUGAGUACAUAUAUUUUCGUGCAAGACAAAGGUCAAAUUACCCAACUUCUACAAACUGAUGCUUCAUACUUGAGUUCUAUCCUUUUUCAUUAUAUAAAAAUAAGAGGGCAAUAAAACCCCAUGUCAAGCUCAAGGGAGGACAAAAAAAUGUCUGGGUCCCAAUGAGAAGUUACACAAAGGCGUAGCUUGUUACAAUUUCAAAUAUAGUUGCAUAUCACUGUAUUUAUUACACAUAUACUAAUUUACAAAUCAAGGUACUCCAACAGCGUAGAUAGUUCAGUGGAGCCUUAUUUAUCUCAUGUUGCUGAGCAGAAUUAUCAAUUCAACAGAAACAGAACAGGAGUAAAUUCUCGUCAGCAUAGGCCUUAAUGUAAAUGUGGUUUUUACUUGGAACAGCUGCUUUGAGAUUAAAAAUAGGCAUGAUAUGAUAAUUUUUGGAAAAUACAACCAUAUAUUAUCUGAAAAACUAGUGCUAACACGAAAUAAUCAGUCCAGCUCAAUCAACAAAGUGUGACACUAAUAGAGCAGCACACUUUCCAAGAAGGGGAAAACACACGAACUAGCAACUGUUCAAAACAAUAAAAUUAGAACAUAUAGAGGUCAUGGACAGUGUUCGUUCCACUUGGGUGCUGGUGUUGUAGUCCAAGGCAGGUUCAAGUGCCCAAUUUGCCAAUUCAGCAAAAUAUUUGGACAGGGAGAAUAUUGCUGGUAAAUGAGCGCGGGUGACAGAAUCUGACAUUUGGAUUCGGGUGCUCAAUUUGUGGAAAGUUAAUGAAAGUCCACUAAAGAUGUACAAAACUAUGAAUAAUCUGCCAAAGUCCACGUAAGAUGUACAGACGCAUAAUUUCGUACUGAACUACCAAAAGUAUCACGAAACAAUGAGAUCGAGUAAGUGACUACUGAAGUCGGAUAUAUUGUAGCGAAGCAAUCAAGCAACUGCCGGAAUUAUCUGAGCAAGCACAUCUGGCAACUCCCUCUCUCAAUCUACAACACGCGGGCCCUCUCUAACCGCACGGCACAGUCACGCUCGUGCCUGACAAGACCUCCGAAGACGCAUCGAGAAGUCGAAGCGCCAUUGUAUGUAGUCCCUGAACUGCCUCGCAACGAACAGACGAAAAGGAUCCACGACACGCAGAUGCGCCACGGGAACGAAAAGGAAAAAAAAAGAACUUGAGAGUUAGGGCGAGGUUGGCUACGGGCGGAUUCGACUCACCCCCACUGGACGGCGAGGGCCUCAUAAUCCCAGUACUCCUUGGGGCGCACCACGUUAACGUCGGCGUAGACCCUGGCCUUUGACAUGGCUGAAGACGAUCCGGAUCCCGCGGGCGGGCGACGGAUCAGAGAGAUGGGAGGGCUCGGAGGAGUUUGGUGCUUUCUCGGCGGCGCGUCCGUCAAGCGGACAUCGCCGGCGGCGAGAUGGCGCUAGGGUUUCAACAAGUACGAUUGGUUUUCCUGAGAAACAUGUUUUUGGGGAUAUUGUUUUGGGGAUGUAGGUGGGGGGCGUGGGAGAAGCGCGGUAAGUGCAACUGACAGGUGGGUCCAUGGGGUGCGCGAAAGGAGCUCGUGUUGGGACCCAACUGGCAGGUGUAUCGUGGGCCCAAUCCGAGCUAAGUGUCAAAAAAAGCUCUUAUAUAUUAAUAAGGCACCUUCAAGACGGACCACAAACCACCCCAUCCGUCCGGACAGCACUGUCCGGACCGUGGGAGACAUCCAACAUGGGCUGUAUUGGUCCACGAGGCGAUCCGGACGCAGUUUUUAUCGCAAAACGGAGACAAAAGUGAGGAAGCUUUGCGGGAGUCCCGACGCGCGAAACAUAGGAAUCCGAUCCCAGGCCCACCCAAAACAUUUCCGGACCCCGCGACUCCAUCAUCCUCAUUUUCUCUCAUGCCUUCUUUCUCUCUUGUCGUCGCUGCCGCUCCACCACCCCUGCCACCAUGCCACACCCCUGUCGGAAAUCUGCGUCUCCGUCACCUUCAACGCUCCGACAGGCCUCCACCCCGCUUCUCCUCCGUCUUCGUUCAACCCCUGUCCUCCGACCGCCCCGCCAGGUACCAUCCGCUACUGUUAUUCUCACCAUGCCCGACAACUGUUUGAUGUAUCGCCGGAGCUGAAAACAGGUGUCCCUUCUUCUUUCUAGCAAUGGAUUCCGAUUUGGAGUACAUAUACGAGAAGUGUGUUAAGUCGUUCAAUGGCUCGUCAGACGAGGAGUACACCGAUGAGACAGCGAUUAUGCAAGUGGUCCUUUAAGACACGGAGCGUGCGGAGGAGCAUGUUCUCAAUUUCAAGAGCUCGAUCAAGGGUCAUCGAGUGCUCAGCUGCAACACGGUGCGCGGCCAUUUGACACUGAUGGCCGACUACUUUGUCCCUGAUGUCUGGUCCUACGAUGACUACAUCGUGAAGAAGAACGCCAUGGAAAGAUUGGCUUCUCUGGUUACCAGAAGUGCAUGGUCGCACUCCGGAUGCUUGCAUAUGGCACGACCACUGAUUCGUGGGACGAGUAGCUACGGAUUUCUGAGAGCACAUGCGGAGAUGCCAUUGUCAGGUUUGCAACUGCCUUGGUCGAGGUGUUCGGACCUCAGUACCUGAGAGAAACAAUGGUGGCAAAUGCCGAGAGGCUCCUUGCAAUCUCAGAAGCAAGAGGGUGGCCAGGUUUGCUUGGAUCUCUUGACUGCAUGCAUUGAAAAUGGAAGAACUGUCCGAAGGCUUUACAUGGGCAAUAUUAGGGUCAUGUUAACAAUCCCACCAUCAUUCUUGAAGUACUUGCAUCACAUGAUCUUUGGAUUUGGCACGCUUUCUUUGGCAUGCCCGGGUCUAACAAUGCACUGGUACAGCGAGCUGCUAUACAAACGGUUUUUAGCCCCUUUCUGCGACAGCAUUUUAAACCGUCGCCUAGUGAGUGUGGGCGAUAUGGGGUCCUUCCCACACGACCCAGAAACCGUCGGGGAUAGGUAGUAGGAAUGCAUACGUUUUGCAUAACUAAGCGUAUGCGAUGCAGGCAUCUAUCCCAAACGCGUUCUUCACACAAUUGUUUGUGAUAUAUCAAAUAUCCCAAACGCUCCAUCUUUGCUAUUCGUGUGUGCUGGCAUUACCAUUGCACGCGCUAUUAUGUGGUGCAACAUUUACGAUGCGCACUCCGUCACAAACAGUUCAUGAUUGCCAAGCGUGUGCGAUCAGGAGACUAUCACACAUAUUCACUUCUCCCGAACCGUAUGAGAUCUGUAAUUAAGAAGAUUACCUAAUCAUCGUAUGAGUGUCGGAUAGGAUUACGAAACGUCGAACCGUCGUAGUAGUGUCGUACAGGAUAACUAUCGCACACGCUAUUAUGUGGUGCAACGUUUACGAUGCCUACGACAUCCCAAACAGUUCCUGAUUGUAAACCGUGUACGAUAAGGCGACUAUCACAAACAUUUAGUUUGCUCGCACCGUUUGUGAUAUUGUCUGACAUCACACACGCUUCUCAAACGACAACUGUGUGCAUGGUCGCACACGUUUCCUCUCUGCAAACCAUCUCGAAAGUACAUGUAUAUCACACACGUUUGUGCUUUACAGACUGUGUGCGUCGUAACGACCUGUAGAGCAUAUUUCGACCCUAACUAAAUCGCUGCUAUUUAAAAUUGUACCGAAUUUGAAUUUGAAAGUUAGCUAUAACUUUAUUCAUAUCCAUCAGGUUAAACAACCAAUGCAUUAUUCGAUUCACAGAUACACAUGUUCAAGAAUUACAUAAGCACCAAAUAAAGAAUGAUGAACUAGGGUUGUAUACUUGUACUAUUAAACACGGUAAAGAAAGAUGCAAAAGACAUUCUGGUUGCUGAACAAGGUGAAGCGGGCAUAUGCCCGUAUUGUGCUCUCCUCCAUGCAGAAGGCACGCAUGACUCAGUCCAACCCCUUGUGAUGGUCGACCGCCUAUCCUUCACUGUCUUCAUGUCUCAUGAGGACAUCUAGAUAAUCAUUGUGUUGUGGUAGAAAUACUUUAACCUUUGCUUGCCCACCAAUUAUGUAGUUUGAGAGGUAGUCUUGAGUAAACUGCUUCGAGAACCACUGCAAAGGAAAAAGAUUCAUACAUUGUCAUCUAAAACAACUCAUUAUGGGCAGUAAAAAGAAGGCUACAGAGUUCUUAUUUACCUUGUUGCGGUUCACUAUUGUCUUGCAUAAAGUGUAAACAAAUAGUUCGAUUGACAUCUUUUGACCCAUUUUAAUAACAAUGUUUAUCAGUUCCUCUCUUGAAGUUGGUUCAUGAAUAUCUCAUUGCCCCAUACGCAGAAAGGGCCGAAGCACGGAUCUUUACCAAUGACAUGUACCUAAAAGCACCAAGUUAACAUUAGAAGCUAAACAACAUUGCAAUAUGGUGUAGUACAACACUCCCUCCGUCCCAUUAUAUAAGAUCUUAUAGCAUCCAAUAUAUUCACGACGUGGAUGAAUAAACAUCUUAUAUUAUGGGGCGAAGGGAGUUUAUUACAUUUCUACAAAUAUCAGCCAAUUAACUACAGUUAACGGCUGCUGUGUUGUUGGUGUUCUUGCUGCUCUUCUAUGUAUAUCUAGACAUCAUCAGAACAUUAAGGUAACACUCUUGGUUUGAGACUACGUUUGCCAAAGGUUGCCACACCUAAGCUUAGGAAAGUUUGACCAACUUAGGUGUGUGUUUGGUUCAAGCCACACUAUGUUCCCACAUCACAUGCACUCAAAAAGUGUGACAAGAUUCUCUUAGGCGUGCCAACUUGUGGCUCUCGUUUUGAAGAACUAACCCGUUGGCAAGUUUGACAACAUUGUAUGGUAAUGUGUGGCACUCCUAGGCUUAGAACCAAAAAACCCUUCCUUGUUGCUGUGUGGCCUAGGAUUGCAUAUUUAGUCAUUCAGUACAAUGCAUCUUGCUAUGUAGCCUCAGAUAUGUUAGGUAUGGCCCUAGUUAACCUACCGAUAAAUGGGUUAUACAUAUAUUCAGAUAAAUGUCCGAUUGAACGAUUAAUCCCUCAUCAACCCUCGACCUAUAUGGUACCCACUACCAAUAUCCUGAACAAUGAGUAUAAGCCAUGGGAUGAAACUAACCUCGAUGGUAAACAGCAGAUGUUUCCAAUAUUGUCAUGUGCAUGCUAAGCACAACAGGCUAAACAUCAACCAAAUAUAUCCAUGGUAGAGAACAUAAUCUCCGAAUGAUAGCUUCAUGGUGAAGGUUUAAGCACGCUAGUUAAGAAAAGAAGAAGUGGAAAGGUGUGUUAUUAACUACAACAGGCCUAAUAUUUAAAAACAAGCAAACAUAGUCAUUCAAACUUGUAUUGUGCAGGUUUAAGUACACUAGUUAUUGUUAAAUCAAAUGGAAAGGCGUGUUAAAUACUCCCUUCGGUCCUUUUUACUCUGCAUAUAAGAAUUGUCUGAAGUCAAACUUCAUAAAGCUUGACCUUAUUUAUAUGAAAAAAUAUCAACAUCUACCAUGCUAAAGUUAUACAAUAUGAAAAUUUAAGUCAUGACACAUCUAAUGAUAUUGAUUUCAUAUUGUAAAUGUUGGUAUUUUUUCUAUAAAGUUGGUCAAACUUUACGAGGCUUGACUUUAGACAAAUCUUAUAUGCGAACUAAAAAGGGCCGGAGGGAGUACAACAUGCUUAACAACAACCAAAUAUAGUCAUUCAUAGAGCUAUUGUUAAAAUUGGUAUUGAUGAAGUUGAACUGCACCGUUCAUACUAGCACACAUAGAACAUCACAUUGUGAAUAGCUAAAAUAAACAAGGCAUACUACAAACAACCAAAGAUGGCAAUUGAAACUGGACAUAUGCUAACUACAAACAACCGAACAACCAAAAACCAUAGAAAUAAACAUGGUGUAAUGCAAACAACCAAAUAUAGCAAUAAAUAUUGGAUAGGUUCUCACUACAAAAGGAGUUCAAGAAAACAAAUCAUGGAAUUCCCCCAGUGAAGAGGCACGACAAAACAAAUCAUGGGUUUCCUCACUUGUCACAGAUUGGCUCCUCUCGUGGUCGUCGUCGAUAAGGUCUGACUUGGCAGCUGAGGAUCCCAAGCUAGCGUCACAGAACGUGUCCUUCAGAAAUGACAAAAGGGGCUCCAUGGAGAUGAAGGGUGGCAAAUUGUUCAUAAUGAGCCGCAGGAGAUCAGCGGCAGGGCCAUCGAUGAGUUCGACGGCUGUCGAACCCGAGGGAUUGGGGGUGGGCAACUUAACCUGUGACAUUGCCCGCGUCAAGCCAUCACUGUCGAUGACCUCCAUGUCGUAGCCGGUGUCCACUACAUGCAGAAUACUCUAGACUGCUGAUUGAAAGGUUGCGUCCAAUCAUCAUUGUCAGCUUCCUCGGCUGUCACCUCGCCGACGUCGGGCGAAGAGGCCGCGGUAAAGCUCUUUUGGCCCAUUUGCUCCUCGAGCUCCUUGGGAAGCGUAGCCGGGCUUAGGUUGCGACGCUCUGGAGUGGGGGAGGGGUAGGGAUGGGGAUCUGAGGGAAAGGGGGCGUUUCGCAGGCGUCAUCUAAGAAACUCAGGGCGGCGAGGGUAUGUAUAUCGGUGGGUAACCUACACAGGCAGACCAGCACAGGUUGAGGAUGGAGGUGGCGCAGCGGCGACGGCGGUGACCUAGCUAGGUUUCGAGGGAGGGAGGGAGGGGUGGUGUGUAUGUGUGUGAGCGGGGGAUUUGGGGUGUGUGUGUGUGGAGGGGGUCCAAGGUGGUGUUUGAGGAAAUGCCACGGGUACUGAAUAUUUUACUAGGCGGGAGUAAAAUGGUGGGGCUACCGAAAAUUUGGAUCACGGGAUUGAAGUAGAGCGGGGCGGGAGUAACAAACAUCACACACGGUUAAAACUUAAUAAUCGUGUGCUAUCAAACAGAAAAACACUCCAGCCGAGCAGAUAUUUUUGAGAUUUCGAAGGAUGCAGACAGGAGUAAUGUCGGGGCUACUGAAAAUUUGGAUCAACUGAUUGAAGCAGAGAGGGAGUAUCAGACAUCGCACACGGUCCACACAUACUAAUCGUGUGCUAUCAAACAGAAAAACCCUCUAGGCGGGUAGAUAUUUUCGAGAUUGCGAGGGGGUAGAUAUUUUCUAGGGCGGGAGGGAAGCCUCGUGGAGCCCAAUCUACUGUGAUGAUGUGGGUGACGGGGGUAGGGGCGCGACACACGGGUAGUCCCAGGGAUCCGUGUCUAUUGCGUACCCGAUCGCAGACGGUUGUUGCAUCUGACUCGCCUGCUAUUUAUAAAUUUGGCGAAAAAACACGGGAAAGGGUCAGAAUACGAACACACUUGCAUGUUGACCAAAUAUAUGUAUGAAAAGGGUGGUUUGUUGUUUAAAUACCCAAUGCACAACUUUGAUGCGGCACCUGUCGCACAAAGCACACGUUAUUAUUGCUAGCCCCCCCCGGCACACACACUUCGUGUUGGCGGGAGGGGAAUCCUAGCUAUGAAUGCAUCCCCCCAAAUAGCUAGGUCUGACAUCUCACCCUACCGUAACACAAAACCGAAAGGAGUGCAUCAUGGUCAACCCCUCCCUAUUGCUUCCGAUCAAACAUGCAACUUGUGCAGGCCCACAGAUGUGUUCUUGUGGCGUGAGAUGGGUGAGACCAGAUGCGAACCACACCUGCGGGUGGCCCGAUGUGCGUGUGUGUGUGAAAAUGGUAUGGUGUGAUAUUUAAAUAACCAAAUCACAAAUUUGAUGUGGCACAUGUGUGUCGCAAAUUAACCGGACAUCCCUGACCCCACGGAGGUUCAUCUAGUGCGAAGUAGUACUAUGUGCCCCCCACACACACACUUUGAGUCGGUGGGAGGGGGCAUCUCACCAAGGCGUAUUGUAACACUGACUAAGAAGAAUCACCACCUUGGUCGUAUAACCUCUCUCGUUGUUGGGUCAAAGCCAUGCAUGGACGUCCACACGCGGCCCCACAAAUAGGCUAGCUUGUCGCUAAUAACCACGCGAGGGAGUGCCUGAAGACAACCACUACGUGCAUGUGGCCCAAACAUAUGUAUGAAGUGUUAUGUGGUGUUUGAAUAUACCCAAUGCACAACCUUGAUGUGGCACUAUGCUUUUGGAACCGGAAAGUCCCCACACGGAGCGAGGGUUCACGACGCUUAUACUAUAUAUAUAGGGAUUCAUGUGUAUGCAUGCCCUCAAACUUAGGUCUCGAAUCUCACCAUGAUCGACAUACGACUAUACAAUAACGUGAACCAAGAGAAGAAGAAUCCACCCUGGUAACCUCUCUCGUGUUGUUGGUCGAAGUGAUGGAUGUCCACGCGGGCCCACGAAUAUAUAGGCCGUUGAUGAUAACCAAGCGAGGGAGAGUGUCCAAAGACAACCACUGCAUGCAUGUGCCCCAAACAUAUGUAUGGACAUGCGUGAUGGAUGCAUAUAUGUUUGAAUACCAAAAGCACAACAUUUUGAUGUGGCGCAUGCAUGCGUCGAAAAUUGCACAGUCCCCACAUAGAUUUGGUUCAUGGCGCGUCGUGUGCUCGUCCUCCCCCCACUUCGAUCCGGUGGGAGGGAUUCAUGCGUACACAUGCGCUCAAAGUAUAAUACGUUAUCUCUCACAUCAUGACAUACAUGUACCGUACCAUAUAAGGCGAACCAAAAUUUAAUCCCCUCCUAAUUAUAAGUCAAAAUAACCUCUAUUGUUGUCGGUCAAAGUGAUUGACGAAGCGGGCACACACAGAUGGACGAAGCAUCUCGCCGAUAACCCCGUGAGUGAGUGCUAGAGGACAACCACCAUCGCUUGCAUGUGGGCCAAACACAUGUAUGGAGAUGUGUGGUUGUGAUGUUUGAAUACCUAAUAUAUAUGCAGAACUUUUGAUGUUGCACCUGCCUCGAAAACCUUAAAUUCCCCCACACGAAGCGAGGUUCAUGAUGUACAGUAUAUGCUGGCCCCCCUCCCCUCUUCGACGCGUAAUAUAUACUCCUACAUACCGUAACACAACCCGGAAAUCAUCCUGCUUGUUCAGAAAAUUACCUUUCUCAUUGUGUCAUAUAUUAGAUGGACGACGACCUCGUGGGCCCAUGGAGGGAAGCGUCGCAGGAGAGUGAGUGACAAUCAUCGUCUGCAGGUGGCCCAAGGUGUUGGUGAUGUUUUAAUACCCAAUAUGCACAACUUCUUUGUGGCACCUACCUCAAAAACCGAAAAGUCCCCACACAGAGCGAGAUCGUUCAUGACGUGUGUGUAGCAUGUGCUGCCCCCUCCUCCCCUCUUCAACGCAUACUAUAUACUCCUACCGCAACACAACCCAAAAAGAAACCUCCUUGUUGGUCAAAUUAACCUCUCUUGUUGGGUCAAAGUGAUGGAGGACAACCUCGCGGGCCCACGGAUGGAAGCAUCGCACGCGAGUGACUGUCCUAUAUGAUGCGUAGUAUAUUGACGCGUACUAUAUAUACUCCUACCGUACAUAACAAAAACCAAAAAAAAUGACCAUCCUUGUUGGUCAAAUUAACCUCUCUCACCGCAGGUCAUAGUGCUGGAGGUUGACCUCGCGGGCCCACAGAGAGAGAUCACACGCGAGUGAGUGUCCUAGGACCACCGCGUGCAUGUGGCCCAAAGAUGCAUGUCAAACUUUUUCUGCAGCGAAAAUGCGACCAAAGGAGUUUAGUGUUAAAAAUUGAAAAAAUAUAUAGAUAACAUUUGUCCGUUUUUAUACAUGAUUGAUUUCCUAGGGAUUUAAUGUGCAAAAAUCAAAUUUUAUCUACAUGAGACCCGUGAUAGUGCACCAAAAUGGAUUGGAAAAUCAUAUGGGUAUGUGUCCCUGGGUGCAUGUUUAGUCCCCAUGCAAGAAAUUUCUAACAUCAAGAAUCUUGAUUUGAAAAUCCAGUAAAUCCAAAACUAAGUUUAAAUUCAUGAAACUUAUCAUGGUGUCAUAUGGACACCAAUAGACUGUGAUAUUAUAUUUAUUUUCCAAAUUUGAGACAAUUUUGGUAUAAUCUUCUUACAGACGUCAAGUCUUUUUUUCUGCUUUAUCCUUCUCUCAAUCAAAGAAAGGGAACGCAGAUGUUCUGUCGCCCUCUCUUCGUAUGCCACCAGCCUUCCUCUCAAAACCAUAUUGAUCCGAUCUUGCGCAGAUAGGUAGGGACGAUCCCUCCAAUAACCAGGAAAUUAUCAAUAAUUAUCAAUCAAUAUCGCAAACAGACUCUUUAUUCGAACCGUGUGCGUUAGACCAACAUUGUAUGUGUCGUGCUUCGAUUAAGCAAUAAAGCGGCAGAAUUAAUGAUCAAAAAGGAAAAAUCAAUAUAAUACGUGCCGCCACGCGUCCCGUGUGCCGUACAAGCAUGCGUGAGUUGACGAGACGCAUGCUAGUAGUCCACCGCGCAGGCAGACCGGGAGGCCGAGGCUUGCGCGUGUUCGCUACGUAGUGUCACCUGGGGGCGUGCUAAUAGCUGUGUGAAAUGACGGUAGGCAUGCCAGCAAUCCGCUAUGCAGGCUCACCGGGAGGCGAGCCAGCCCUUUGACCGCCGCCCUCCUCUCUCCCACUGCUCCAUAUUAAUGACGCGCCCGAUCCGCUGGUCAUAAUAGGCGGCCGCACCCCUCAUCCACAGUUGUCACCGCCGCAUGGAGUGUAUUAGGAUUUUGUCGAAGCGCACCAUCGGAGGGAGUGGCGACGCCGGGGCUGGUGAAGCACCCGCGCAACGCAUGAAGCUGUGCACAGAGGUUGUUGUUGCCGCCGACGAGGUCUCACGCGGGCAGCAGCGCAACCUUGACUUCGUCGCCGUCGUCGUGCCUCCCCAGCCGAAGCCGGAGGUCCACAGCUACUCCGACAAUGACUCCGACGGAAAACUAGUUAGUCCCCCCUUCUUUUAUUGGGAAUAGAAAUCCUUGGUUAUGUUCACCUAAUCCAUGAAAUCAGAGUAAGAUUCGUUAGAUCCGUGUAGUGUAUUGAUUGUUUGAAUGAUAUCUAUGGUUAGUGAUUAAUUGUUUGUUCUGUACAAAUGAUUUUUUUGCUAAUAAUCCGACUAGGGUUAGCGUGCAUGCUAAUAAUUCGUAGCCAGAUCUUGAGAAUUGAUUUUGAAUGUCCUACAUGUAUGUUUUUUUUUCUUUUUUCAGAUUGGCAUGUACACAGAUGAGGCUCCGGCCAGCGGCACCGCCGGCUGUAGAUCCUGCAGCGGGCAGCACGGGCAGAAGCAGCCACACCCUGGAUACGAGGAACCCGUAGAAUAUCGAGCGGACCGCAUCAGCGAUCUCCCGGACGCCAUCCUUAGGGAGAUCAUCUUCCUUCUCCCCACCAAGGAUGGCUGCCGCACACAGGUCCUCGCAUCUCGUUGGCGCACUCUGUGGCGCGGCGCGCCUCUUAAUCUCGACUAUCACUGGCUAUCUAUCCUUCAUGAUUUUGAACUCCACGGAGUCAUCAUCUCCUCCCACCAGGGCUCCGUUCAAUGCCUAUGCAUCCUGACAUGCUGCCUGCUGCACAUACCCUACACGAUGGACGCAUGGCUGACAUCCCGUCAAUUAAAAAAACUCCAGCAUCUUGAGUUCUACCAUUACUAUGCAAAUAGCUUCCCCCCAAGCGUUGUAGCUUUGCCCUCACCACCGAUGUCCAUCUCAUGGUUUUCCUCCUCUCUCCACACCACCACCUUGGCCCAGUGUCAUAUAGUAGACAAUCUGGUACAAAUGCUUCAACUCUCACUGCUAAAAAAACUCGCGCUUGUGGUGAUCAAUCUGUCGGAGGCCUCACUGCACAACAUCAUCCACUCCUGCUGCCCUGCCCUGGAGCGCUUCUGCUUGUUUUUGGAAAAGAAACAUGUAUCCGUUGUCUCCAAAUAAAGUCGCCUCACCUUGUAAGCAUUGGAAUUUGCUUUAAAGGAGAGGAGCUCAUCACCAAAGAUGCCCCUUCACUCCAAAGGUUGCUCCUUGAUUAUUGGUGUGCCCUUCGCAAAUAACUGUGGUCUCUGCGCCUAAACUGGAGACCUUGGGUGUAAUUCCUGAUUCGCUUGAAGGUUACAAGAUGGUGGUUGGCUCCACACUUAUUCAGGCACUGUAUAUUAUCAUCAACACUUUUGUAAUCAUAAGCUGCAUUUUUCAUUUGUGUGCAUAAGUUUUAUAUCAUCAACACUUUUGUAAUCAUAAGCUGCAUUUUUCAUUUGUGCGCAUAAGUUUUAUAUCAUCUUGGAGUACACUUUUGGUACUAAUAUUAUGUUCUAUGCUCAAUGAGAGUUUGUCCAUGGAUACCCUAUCAAUGGUGCUGGGUUUUGUCAAGACCUUAUGUAUCAGUAUGUGGUGUUUUGAUUUGAACACGUUUAUCGGCUUACUGCGAUGCUUUCCAUGUCUGGAGAAUUUGUAUAUACAAGUGAUGAUUUCAAGCACAUCGAAAGCCCGUAUAUAAUUUACUAGAAUUAAUCGUUCAGUUGUUGCUCUUUCAACAUACUCUUUUUUUAGAAAUUAACUGUUUUCAGUCUUCAUGUCUAUUUAGGCAGAAGCACAUGGACAAAACGGUAUAACCAAUCGGUGGAAUAAGAAGCACCAGGAUUUUCUCAGUUCUCAUGACAUUCGUUUGAGGACAAUAAUGCUAGAAGGAUAUGCAUCCAACCAUGCAAACACUAGCUUUGUCACAUUCUUCCUGUUGAAUGCGAGGGUACUAUUGUCCAUGAGGAUUAAGGUUUUUAACAAAAACAUUCUCAUGGAUGGACACGUUGAACAGCAUAAAAAGAAGUUUCAGGUGGACAAAAGGGCUUCUGAACGUUCUCGACUUCUAUUUACAACAACUUGUCUUCAUGUACUAGUAGAUUUUCUCGACCAGGAUCUUGAUUUUAUGGAUCAUACCGACCCAUUUGAUUGUGAUUGCCGAAAACUUUGGUUAAGUUAGAUGUUAUUGUCCCGUUCAAUCUGGAUUUUGUGUAAACCUGAUGAAAUUAAUCAUCGUGCUUUUGUACCUUUUUGUAAGCUGGAGUUGGAUAUCGUUGUCCUUUUCAACUCGGCUUUGACCCAUAUUUUCUUUCAUACAAACCAGAGCUUCUAUCAAGAAGCCUCAUGUUCAAGGUUGUCAGAAUCGUGAUUUUGAAUCGGAUCGGAGCUUUGAUGGUAGGAUUGCAAAUCAUAGAAUCUUCACUAUUAAGAUCGUAGAAACGUAGAUUCUAAAAACUAAAAUCAUAGAAACAUAGGGGUUAGUUUGGAUCGUAAAGUCGUAGAAUCGUACAACAAAAUCGUGAUUCUGAUAGCCUUGCUCAUGGUUCCGAGAGGGAACUUGGUCACCUGAUCUGUGUGCGAAACGACAUACGCUAUCUCUUCCCGCCUUGAUUUAUUUUACAGAGGCAACAUGCAACUGUACUAAAAAUAUGAAAUUAUUCAGGGUUUGUUUCGCUAUUUUAUACAUUGAUUUUCCUAGGUAUUUUUAAAAAAUACCCACCACGUUAUUAUUGCAAAUGGUCAUAUUUGUCCAGCCAUGGGCGUUCAACUAACCAUUUACUACCGCGGGCAGUUGUUUGAUUAGACGGGACGACUGCGAGCAGUCUGCCGCGCACGCUCACUGUACCGGGAAGCGAGCCGCGAGCGCUGCAAUUUAUUGCUGGUUUUGGACUUUUGUUUUGGCCGCCUCGGGAAGGUAUGUAGAACAGUCCUCCAUUCUCAUCUACAAGCACCGCAUCCAAGGAUUGCCGCCUGUUGCCAGAUGGAGGACGAGCUGGCCAACAAGCGGGGGCGGGUCGAGCCAGAACCGCAAGAGCCUUCGGCAAACAUGGACUUCAUCAGCAGCCUCCCUGACGAGAUGUUGGUAACCAUCAUAUCCCAUCUCCCCAUCAAAUCUGGCGUGCGGACCACUGUCUUCUCGCGGAGGUGGUGCCCCCUCUGGCACUCCACCCCCUGGACCUCAUCAUCGACGACGAGUUCUAUAGUGGGAGCGGCAACGCCUGGACGCAUUGUCCCACGUCCUCGCCACGCACCCUGGGCCGGUUAGAUGCCUUGCUAUCGACAGGUUCAGUCCCCACUGCAAGGCCGAACCCAGGUUUCACUACUAGUUCCUAUCCCCAGCCCUGGAUCGGCUUGAGGAGCUCAGCUUUCAUGUUGGACGUCCGCGCUCGCUGCCGCCGUCCGCGCUCCACCUCGCGCCCAUGCUGCACCGCACUACAUUCACGCAGUGCAUUUUCCCCCGGAUUGAUGCCGUGCGCGCUCUUCAUCUCCCUAAACUUAAGCACCUUGAGCUCAUGGUCGUCCGCAUCUCGAAGAAGGAUUUGGAGCGCCUACUCGUCGGCUGUACAUCGCUCGAGUACCUUCGUCUUCAGGCGAUGGAUGGGUUCAGUAGCCUCCACAUCACCUCGACGAAUGUCCGUGCGAUUUAUGUGCAUUGCUGGCACCGCCCAAGGCUGUCAGUUGAAGUGUUUCAUGAUACGGUCAUUGAGAAUGCGCCUUUCCUCGAGAGAUUGUAUGUACUUGAUAAAUUAGGUCCAACAAGAAUCAGGGUCAUUCACGCACCGAAAUGACAGUUUGGGCUAUUCGUGUGCUGAAUUCAACGAACUUGUUACUAGAUCAUUAUCCUUUCAGGUACAACAGUCGUCUUCUUCUCCUUCUUAUAUAUCAUCAGACAUCACAUUUUGUCUAAUUUUUGUUGAUCUAUAUGUUCGCCUGUCAUCCAGAAAAUGAUUGCCACAAGCUUGACCCGUCCUCUACGCACAGUGAAGAUCCUGGCAUUACAAUCUGUCAGCCCCGAUCUGGAUGAAGUUGUUAGAUUCCUUAGAUGUUUUCCUUGCACAAAGAAGCUAUACAUCGAGGUGAUGCUCAUUUCCUGUUAAUUGUUAACCACAACGGAGCUCAAUUUGUUGUUACUUUUACCCAUGAUUACAAAGACAAAAGUAGAAUGAUUUCUAAAGGAAAUUUGGAGGAUUUCGAUACAUAUUUUUUUUAGAUGUUAAUUAUGAAAGAUUGAAGGUGGCAUUUUCACUCUUUUCGUGUAUUUUAUAAAUCCUGCAAAUCAAAGAGGCCCGAAGUGUUCAAAUCUGUAGCUAGGCACUAAUAUGUCGUUUUCGUUUGCAGAUACUAGCAGGCCCGAAAAGUGGAAAAUGUUGGGGAAUAUAACAAUCCCAUUGAAUGCCUUGAUCUUCAUCUCACAUAAAUCACUUUAAACGAGUAUCGAGGCACCACACUAGAAAUUAAAUUCACCAGGUUCUUUGUUGAGAAAGCAAGGUUGCUCAAGGUAAUGAGGUUUGCCCUAUAUUUACUGCACAGAAGUGAAUGGAUUGCUAAAGAGCGCAGGUGUCUACAGCUGAAUGGAAAAGGCUCUCCGGGAGCUGAAUUUCAGCUUGUAACUUCAUAUGAAAGAUUAUUCGGAAGUCACUGCAUCAAGCCGCUAUAUGACUUCUCGGUGGCUGAUCCUUUCGUAGAAAUAAUGUAUGAAAAAGAUUCUGAAGAAGAUGAAUUUUAUUUGUCAGAAUAGUUUGAACCUUGUAAUCUUUGAAUUUGGGCUUGUAAUGCUGGAAUUUGAACCUUGUAAUAUUUAUGGUAUUUGUUAUAUAACGUAGUUGGAUGUUUAAUUUGGUUUUGCAAUCAUGUCCUCUUAUAAGUAUAUUUAUGGUAUUCGUAAUUGGAGUAUGUUGUUCUUCUGUAGACAGAGCAUAGAUGUAGUGCAAACAGAGCAUAUCACAUCACAUGCGGACAACAGUAGGGAACCAGUCGGUGAUAAAUUCAUCAAUCGAAGACGGUUGUACCAGCAAGCGUUUUCCCACAACACACACGGCUUAUUCCAUCACAAAUAGCUCGGAUGGAUCAACUGUAUGCCACGUAUCGCACACGCAACUCUAAUCUGAAUCGUGCUUGAUGUCUCCGCCAUCGCUCGCACAGUUCGUCUUAUUUGCCACGUAUCACUGUGUCAGCCUCUGCUCGCGUCCCUCGGCGCGAUCUGCUCGUCGUUAGGCGCCGCGGCGCGCUCUGCUCGCGUACCUACACGGGCUCGGCUUGUCGACAACUUUUCCUUCCGUGUUCAACUGAUAUAUGGAUAUAUAUGGUUUCUCGCCAUUGAGGCGGUUGCGGAGCGUUCUGCUCGCGUCCCUCCACGUGCGCUCUGCCAACAGUUGGGGCCGGAGCACGAUCAUGUUGGGGGCCCCCAUAUGCAUGCGGUUGCACCGUGCGCGUCGCCACGACGCAGUUAUGUGCGACACGAUGGAGUUACGCGCUGCAACUAGAACUGCCAUCCGGGCGUGCCGAUAUUCCAGGCCGUCCGGCUUCCCCAUUAAUUCCCGCGGCCAUUAUAACCUUAGUCUCUUCAACCUUUCGAUCGCGCCCCACAACACAACAAGCACACCCACGACGACACAUACAGAGAGGAUAUCUAGCGGUGCUCCAAUAGAGUUCAGCGAGCAUAAAGUGGAGACCCACACGAGGGAGACGAAUCUCUCGGUGGAGGACUACAUCAACACCGUGGAGCAGUUGCUUGCUCGAGACAAGUACAAGGUGGUCGGCAUCGACCUCCAGUACACCGGCGGUCAUCCCAGCAAAGAUCAGAAGGUUGUCGUCGCCCAGUUGUGUGCGCCAUCAUGUCCUCAUCUACCACUACUGCAUGGCCAUAGAGCCUUGCGACCGUUUCGCCAGGUUUAUCAACAACAUUGACUACAAGUUCGCUACGGUGAAAACCUCUGACGAUGUAAAAGCGCUCAUGGUUACGGGCUUAGCCUGCAAGAACCUUGUCGAAAUCCGUGAACACUACAGGGUCCGGGGCAGUACGGAGAAGGACUCCCUGGUUGAACUCGCCUUGGCCAUCAUCGACCCCUACUACGAAAAGAUGAAGCAAGAUGCCAACAGAACACGUCCCGUAUCCUGGCUACGGGCCUGGAUGCGGCAACUAGAUGAACCUCACCUCAGGUUCGUGGCCAAGAGUGCGUACACAUGCUACGAGAUGUACAGGCGGAUCGUUGGCAUGAGGAAGUGCCUCCUUCCCAAAAUUGACGAGGCCGGAUUGGUACACAAGCAGAGCAGUAGCGACAAGCGUCACAAGAAGUAGAUGAUGAUCAUAUGAUCGUUUAUCCUAGUUAAUUAUGCAUGUAAUAUAUAAUUUACUUUGGUGUGUGGAAAUGUCACGUGUGUAGUAGCCACCUAUGUAAUUAUGCAUGUAAUAGUUUACUUUGGUGUGUGCAAGUGUCAUGUGUGUAGUAGCCACCUAUGUAAUUGGAUGUUAAUUUGGUUAUGCAACCAUGUCCUUAUAAGUGUGUGUGUGUAUGUGUGUGUAUAUGAUGGUGUUCUGUAUGCAAUCACAUCGCACAACACACAUGUCUUAUUAGCAACAAUUGUCUAUGUUAUUAUCGGUCUUCGCACACAUUUCUGAUUACAAACAUGUUUGUCGCAUAUCAAACACAUCUAGUUAAGUUGAACCAUUUUUGUUCUCUUGGCUCAACGCAAACAGUUCAUCCGAGUGAACUGUUUGCCCUCUAUCGCACACACCUUGAUCUGGCUGACCGUUUCUUUUGUAUUGCCUAAUCACAACACUACAAAAAAAGACACAUCCGUGACAUUUUGGGCCGAACAAUUUUUUUCCUGUCAUGCUUAUGACACUGACAAAACCCGGUAUCAUCAUAGAUGUGGUGGGCUCCUACUUCUAUGACAAAAAAUCAUGAUAGAAAAUUGGUUUUCGUCCUGUGCGGGCUGGAGACGCAGCUGCAUGACAUUCUUUGGGCCGUCCAUGACGGAAAAAACCAUGGUAGAAGCGAGAGCGAGGAAAAUAUCGGGGAGUUCCCGGUUACUGUUGGGGAUAUAACUACUGAGUAUAAACCACCCGGGAGGGGCCGGGUUAUGCUCAUGGUGAUUUACCAGCAUUGAAGCCCAUGAAGACAUAGAAGAUGGCGACUUACGAAGGAGACUUAAUAAGAAGGCCCAAAACCCAAAGGCGGGUUAGGGCCCAUAGAUGUAAACCGCCGUGGGUGUAUGACUUGUAUUAUAAGAUAGGAAAGAGUGGAUACCGAGCCGGACACGUUUAUGAGCCGGCCGGGACUCUGUGAACCACCGGGCAUCAACCUGUGUAUAUAAAGGGACGACCCGGCGGCGGUUUAGGGACAAGAAACAACAGAUCGAGAGCCAGGCCAAGCGUAUUCGCUCCCUGGUCAUCGAAACCCUAGCAAUACCACCUCACACUAGAUUAGGCCUUUACCUUCACCGCAAGGGGCCGAACCAGUAUAAAUCCCUGCGUCAUUUGUCUCGAUUAACCCCUCUAAGCUAAUCUCAUUGCGAUGGCUUCACGACUAAGUCCUCACACUAGGACAUCUGCGUGACAAACCCACGACAGUUGGCGCCCACCGUGGGGCUAUCACACGAUGGUUUCAAGUUCUUAGAGGGCAACUUCGAAGGGAUCAAGGGAUACGCCAUGGGCCGGAUGACCAAGAGUCGUCGCGGCAAGCUCUACAUCGACGACGCAGGCUGGGGCCCCGAGGCCGGCUCAAUUGAGUACGGGUACCGGGUCCCCUUUGGCGGAAUUCACGUCUUCAUUGGCAAGAUCGGCGAGCCGGGCCCUGAGCCGGACAUCUGCACCGACAUCAUCGAGACGGCUCAACGUGCAAGACCCGCCCGAGUACAGCCCGCCAUGAAUCGUGCCUUCGUGGGAUUCAUCCAUGGAGCGGAAUCUGAGGAUAGAUCGGCAUCUGGUGACGAGACAGUUGUCUAUUCUGAGGGUGAGUCAUCUACCGGUGAGACCGAGUCAUUGUAUCAACUGCAAGACGGCCGGCCUGGGGGCUGUUCCGAUGGUGACAGUAUUCUGGACCCCUAUAAGCCGCCGAACAGGGUUGCGAUCUUCAUGGCCGGAACACAGCCAGUGCAGCACUCAUUCAACUGCCGCAGAGAUGAUUUCCAGAUCAGCAGCGGCAACGGCUGCCGGGGCAGGAGGCCCUGUGCGCCCGUCGGCUCAGGUCUUAACCGAUUUGUUGGAUAAGCUGACAACAUUGUUAACAACGAUGGUUAAUCCGGUAGAUCAGGAUCAGCAUAACGCGGCGGUUGCAAAGUUGCGGGAUGAGAUAGCACAGGCCAAGGAAGAGCUGAACGCAGAAAACACUAGGAUGGCCGUGGAGCGGACCGCUUUGGAUGCUCAGGCGCAGCGGAUUCAAUCAGAGUCUUUCCGGCUCAUGCUAGAUUAGAACGCUUCAAAUGACGUCAAGAGGAGGAGGCAUCAGACUCGUCUGCCUCCGGUUUACGAGGCAAGAAAUCUCUUUAACAAGCCCGGAGCAGGGACCAGUAACCAGCCAGUGGUAAACCGGGUUGAAACGCCUGGAACAGGAGCGCCGGUUCAGCCGCUCAUGACGGACCCGCCUCGUCAAGACAAUAUCCCACCGCAGCACAUGCCGACGCCACCGGGUCAUUAUUCAAACCCCUUGGAUAACAUGAUCGCCGCCGCAUCACGAUUGGCAGCUCUCCCAGUUGAAGGCGAGUCUCCAACAUCAGUUGAGACGCGAAGGGCUAGAGAGCUUCUUCAGACGGCAUUGGUUCAGCAGCAGGCUUAUUCUUACAGUCGUGAGAGGAUUCAUUCAACCCCUCGCCCAAGCCGGAGUUAUCGUAGGCAUAUUGAGGAACCGGCCAUGUCAAGCAGUGGACGGAACCAUAACCCGCCCCGUGGACAUAACCCGGCAGGUGGUGGGGUUAAUGCCCAGAACGUCGUGGAUCAAGGAAGAGCGCGUCAAGAGGCUGAGCUGGCGGCUCAGUAUACGGCUCGUCAGCAUUCCCCGGUUCGUCCGACAACUUCGGUGGAGACAGGUGUGACCUUCAGGACUCUAGGAGUGCCGUGUUUGGUGCCGGCUUUGCAUAACGUACGUUUGCCCAAGAAUUUCAAGGGUCCCCGUAAGGUGCCCAACUACACUGCCGAUUUACCUCCUGAAACAUGGGUUGAGAGUUAUGAAAUGGCGAUGGAACCGUUGGAUGUUGACGAUGCUGCAUGUGCUAAGUACUUCACCAUGAUGUUGGAAGGGACAGCUCGUACUUGGUUGAAGGGGUUGCCAGCCAACUCCAUUGGGUCAUGGGCCGAGUUAAAAGCCCGGUUUAUCCAGAAUUUUAAAGAUACGUGCAAGCAACCCAUGUCAAUCGUGGAUUUGGCCUCCUGUGUCCAAGAAGAAGGUGAGUCGACAACCCAUUGGGUGCGCCGGAUUUCAACAAUCCUGCACUCGUCGGAUCGCAUCAAUGCCGACUCAGCAGUCUUAAUGUUGGAGAAGAAUUGUCAUUUCACGCCCCUGAAGCAGAAAUUAGGGCGGCUCAAACGUCACUGGAAUGACAUGCGGACACUCAUGGCGGCUCUGGUUAAGUAUGCUGACUCUGAUGGUACCAAGGACCCCGAGUCUGAUGAUGAAAAGCCGGGAAAGGGAAAGAAGAGCAGUAGCACCAGGGGGCAGCAGCAUACCCCGGCGAGCCAUGGAAACAACGGUAGGUGCAAAACUGAUAAUAGUUUGGACUUUGUGGCUAACACCAAUACGCAGAAUAAUGGUCAACGUCAUAAGGGUAAACCGCCCCCACGGACUGGAGGGUCAGGCUUCAAUCUUGAGCAGUUGCUAAAUCAGCCCUGCCCAAGACAUGGGACGCGGGAAAGACCGCCUGGCCACCUCUGGAAGGAUUGCUUCAUUAUGAAGAGGUACAAAAAAUCCAAUCUUUUUCAAGACGAUCAUGGGCCGGGUGGUGGUUCAGGAUCCGGCUCUCAUGGACCGGGUUAUGGCGGUGGCGGUUCUAGCUCUGGAUUCCAAGGUAAUCAAGGCAACCAAGGCAAUCAGGGUGGCUACCAUCAACAAUCAGGUCAAGGGAAUCAACAGCAGCAAUCUGGGUAUCAGAGCAACCCAAAGCAGUUGAAUAGUGGGCAGUACCGCAUCUUCACCACAAGUUUGUGCAAACGGGAUCAGAAGCUUCAUAAAAGGGCGGUGAACACCGUUGAACCGGCAGUUCCCCGUUACUUGCGCUGGUCUGAGCAGCCCAUUACGUGGAGUCGGGAAGAUCACCCGCCCCGGGUUGAUAAUCCGGGUCACCUGGCGUUGGUGGUCGCAUCUCAGGUCGGAGGGUAUAAGUUCACCAAAGUACUCAUGGAUGGAGGGAGCAGCAUCAAUAUCCUUUAUUAUGAAACUUUCCGUCGCAUGGGGUUGACAGAUAAAAAUCUUAAACCGUCGAACACUAUUUUCCAUGGCGUGGCGCCUGGUAAAUCGGCAUACCCGGUUGGUAAGAUAGGUUUGGAAGUUGCUUUUGGAGAUGAUCAUGACUCUAGGUCAGAGACAUUGACCUUUGAAGUGGUAAAAAUCAAGAGCCCUUAUCAUGCUCUGUUUGGGCGGCCGGCUUAUGCUAAGUUCAUGGCAAGGCCUUGUUAUGUUUAUCUGCAGCUCAAGAUGUCGGGUUACAAGGGGACCAUCAUAGUACAUGGGAGCCGAAAGAUAGCUUUGGAGUGCGAAGAAGGUGAUGUAGCUUAUGCUGAGUCGGUUUGUGCAACGGAGGAGUUAAAGUUUUAUAAGGACAAUGUUGAUCCGGCGGAUAUGACAUCUUUGAAAAAUCCAACUACAGAGCAUGAUCCGGUCUUGAAGUUUAAAUCAGCAGAGGAUACCAAGUUGGUUGAUUUUGUUCGUGGCGAUUCAUCCAAGUAGUUCAGUAUCAGUGCUAAUCUGGAUCCGAAAUAGGAAAGCGUGCUCAUCGAGUUCAUCCGUGAGAACCAGGACACCUUUGCAUGGAAACCUUCUGACAUGCCAGGUGUACCGAGGGAACUCGCUGAGCACACUCUCAAUAUUGAUCCCAAGUUUAAACCGUUCAAGCAGUUUCUUUGUCGUUUCAAUGAAGAAAGGUGUAAGGCCAUUGGUGAGGAGGUAGCCCGGCUCUUGGCGGCUGGGUUUAUUGUUGAGGGUUUCAUCCUGAAUGGUUAGCUAACCCGGUGCUGGUACUUAAGAAGAACGACACUUGGCUUAUGUGUGUGGACUACACAGAUUUAAAUAAGGCUUGUCCGGCUGAUCCUUUUGCUCUCCCUCAUAUUGAUCAGAUUAUUGAUGCUACGGCGGGUUGUGAGCAUUUGAGUUUUUUGGAUGCUUAUUCUGGUUAUCAUCAGAUCAAGAUGGCAGUUAAAGACCAAGAGAAGACAGCUUUCAUAACUCCCUUUGGAGCCUUCUGCUAUGUGUCUAUGCCCUUUGGACUCAAGAGUGCCCAGGCGACUUACCAGCGAUGUGUGCAGAAUUGUCUUCAUAAUCAGAUUGGGCGCAAUGUUCGUGCUUAUGUGGAUGAUAUUGUGGUGAAAUCCAGAAAGAAGGAGACGUUGAUAGAUGAUUUGAAGGAAACCUUUGAUAAUCUCCGGGUUUAUAAGAUGAUGCUUAACCUGGCCAAGUGUGUUUUUGGUGUGCCGAUAGGCAAGCUCUUGGGCUUUCCGGUGUCUAACAGGGGCAUCGAAGCUAAUCCGGAGAAGAUCAAAGCCAUUACUUCUCUGGCUAAACUGGCGUGUGUCAACGAUGUUCAACGACUGGCGGCUCGUAUUGCGGCGCUAAGCCGGUUCAUAAGCCGGAUGGGAGAGAAGGCUAUCCCUCUGUAUCAGAUGAUGAAAAAGACAGAUAAUUUUGUUUGGAGUGAUGCCGCUAAUGCAUCGUUUGAGGACUUGAAGAAGUAGCUGGCUGAGCCACCUGUUCUGGCCGCUCCUGUUGAUAAAGAGCCAUUGUUGUUGUACGUGGCUGCCAAUGCUCGGGCUGUCAGCGUGGCUAUUGUGGUGGAACGGAAGGAGGCAGGCAAGGAGUAUCUGGUUCAAAGGCCGGUUUACUACAUCAGCGAGGUGCUUAUUGAGUCCAAGCAGAGGUAUCCGCACUGGCAGAAACUGGUAUAUGGGGUGUUCAUGGCUGGUCGGAAGCUCAAGCAAUAUUUUUUGGGUCAUCCCAUCACUCUGGUUAGUUCUGCUCCUUUAGGGGAUAUUAUUUAGAACAGAGAAGCCACAGGUCGGAUAGCCAAGUGGGCCAUUGAACUUGGACCUCACGGUUUGAAAAUAUAUGCCUCGCACGGCCAUCAAGUCUCAAGCACUGGUGGAUUUCAUCAAUGACUGGACAGAGCCGCAGAUGCCUGAAGAAAAGCCAGAUAACACGUAUUGGACUAUUCACUUUGAUGGGUCCAGGCAAUUGGAGGGCUCGGGGGCUGGAGUUGUGCUAGCUUCCCCUCGAGGUGAUAAAUUUUGUUAUGUUCUUCGGUUGAUGUUCCCUUGUACUAACAAUGCAGCUGAGUAUGAGGCCUUGCUCCACGGUCUUCGGAUGGCUAAAGAUAUGAACUUAAGCCGGGUAAGGUGCUUUGGCGACUCAGACUUGGUAGCUCAACAAGUUUCUGGUACUUGGGAUUCUAAGGAUCCACUCAUGGCGACUUAUCGUCGAGAGGUUGAUGUUAUUGCGGGUCACUUCAAGGGUUAUCAGGUUGAGCAUAUUGAUCGAAGGAAGAAUGAGGCGACUGAUGCUUUAAGCCGGCUGGGUUCUCAACGUAAGCCGGUUCCACCCAAUACUUUCUUGGAUAUUCUGUAUAACCCCUCAGUCAAGUUGCCUACGGAGGAGGAUAUUGCUAUUCCUGACCCAGAAGCACAAUUGGUGGCGGCUAUUCAUGCUAUUCCUGAUUGGACAGUCCCUUAUUUGGCUUAUAUGACCCGGGGCGAGUUACCUGAGGAUGAAACCUUAGCUAGGCAGAUAACCCGGCGUUCUAAGUCAAUGAAAAUUGUCAAUGGAGAGCUACAUCACUGCAGUGUUACAGGGGCCUUUCAACGUCGUGUUUCUCCAGAAGAGGGCCGUGAGAUCCUGCGUGAGAUUCAUGAAGGAGACUGUGGUCAUCAUGCCGGUUCAAAGUCUCUCGUGGCUAAAGCUUUCGUCAUGGAUUUUAUUGGCUGACGGCUCAUGCUGAUGCUGAAGACCUGGUCAGUAGGUGCGAUGGAUGUCAGAAAUUUUCACGACGAGCCCAUGUGCCGGCUCAAGAAUUUAGGAUGAUUCCAAUUACUUGGCCGUUUGCAGUUUGGGGGCUUGAUAUGGUUGGACCUUUCAAAAGGUCCAAGGACAAAAAGACACAUCUCCUGGUGGCGGUUGACAAAUUUACAAAGUGGGUUGAGACCAAGCCAGUCAGUAAAUGUGACGCGGUGACGACGGUUCAGUUCAUUAAAAAGGUGAUUUUCCGUUUUGGCUUUCCCCACAGUAUCAUAACUAAUAAUGGCACUAAUCUGUCCAAGGGUGCUAUGAAAGAAUUUUGUCAAUGUGAGCAUAUCCGGCUUGACGUGUCGUCAGUGGCUCACCCCCAAUCUAAUGGUCAAGCUAAGAGAGCCAAUCAAGAGAUCCUGAGAGGCAUCAAGCCUUGGCUUUUGGUUCCCCUACAGAGGACGUCGGGUUGUUGGGUGGAGGAGUUACCUUCCGUGUUAUGGAGCAUUAAUACCACCCCAAUAGAUCUACGGGUUACACGCUCUGUUGGAAAAGGCAGUGCCUAGGAGGUGCUUAGGCACGCCUAGGCGCUAGGCAAUGGCCAAACGCCUCGCCUAGGACAUAAAUGGAGGUCUAGGCAGGGCAAGAAAGGAAUUGCCUACCCAAGAAAGAAAGCAUGCCACGUACUACACUGAUAUGCCAAACGGGUUAUAUUCCAAUGGAAGUAGACGGUAAUUAACUUAUUUAUAUGCCCUAAACUAAUAUCAACACCCAUAUAAUAAUCACAAAUGCACUAUGAGUAAAAACUAUAUCACCGUCUCGGCCGUGCCUAGGGCGCUUAGGCACCGCCUAGGCACUAGGCGAAGGCCAACCGCCUCGCUUACGCCUACCGCUUUUUCCAACCUUGUUACACGCCCUUCUUCAUGGUUUACGGAGCAGAGGCGGUUCUCCCUAGUGACAUCCGUCACGACUCACCGCGUGUGGCGGCUUAUGUUGAAGCUGACAAUGAAAAGGCACGUCAGGAAGCACUUGACCUAUUAUAUGAGGAGCGUGACAUCGCGGGGGCUCGUUCGGCGAUCUACCAGCAAGAUCUGCGCUGUUAUCACAGCCGCCGAGUUAAAACCAGAACUUUUCAAGAAGGUGAUCUGGUGCUCCGGCUUAUCCAGGAUCAAACUGAUAUGCACAAGUUAUCCCCACCUUGGGAAGGACCUUUUGUGGUCAGUAAGAAUCUCAACAAUGGGUCCUACUACCUUAUCGAUGUUCGAGAGCACAAAGACUCAUGUAAGUCGAAGGAGGAGACCCACCGGCCAUGGAAUAUUGCUCAUCUUCGGCCUUACUACACCUGAGCCACUGGUUCUUAUGAUGUACAUAUUUUGACAAUGUAUAUAUUAUGAUCAAUAUAAUAAAGCCGGCAUCCCUGUUAAAGCAGGGCCUCUAUCGUUUUCUCUUUAAAUAACGAGUUUUUUGGUCACUUGGGGGCUUCUGCUUUAUAAAGCGAAGUUAGGAUUACCCUUUGAUCUGGCUUAUAGGCCAUAUAUAUAUAUAACUUGGGGGCUUGCUACCCAGGUUAAAGGGACCAAAGAGAGUCUGUUGCAAAGGCACAACUCAAAAAUAUUGCUUGGGGGCUCUUUGUUCUAAAGAACAAGAGUUUUUAUGACCCUUGUAAUAGGCUUAAAAGCCAGGCUUGGAAGCCAGGUGUAUUCACCCAAAACCCCGGGUUAUCCUGCCUUUUUAAGUCUGCCACUCCGCCCAGGUAAUCCUGGAACGAUCCGCCGUACUUUUGACAAGUCAAUCUUAUACAGACCCUGAACUUGUCAAAGUUAAAACAAUGAUUGGUUGUGUGAGGUCCUGUUUAUAAGGUUUGUAUAAAGGUUUAACUCGGUGGCUGUGCGGCCCAUGAAAGUACUUGAGUUUUAGGCCUGGCCGCCUAUGAAAGCCUUGAUUUUUGUUGUUGUUUGAUUUGAACAUUUUUUGAGGUUUUUUCUCAUGUGACACAGUAAUACAUGGUUAAAAAGCCGAUCAGGGCUGUGAUGCCUUAUGGUUUAUAAAUGGAACUACCCGGUGUUUAUUAACCCGGCCUGGCUUUCGACUAUAAGUCGCCAGUAUGAGAUAAGAUAAUAUCCGGUGUUUAUUAACCCGGCCUGGCUUGUUCAUCAGCCGGCAAUAUAUGUGCUCAAAAUUCGGGUUAUCACCCUUACUGCACUGGUUUGGUAAACCACCAGUGUGAUCAAAUAUCACAGGUAUGAUAUAUUUUUAAUUAUGUAUGGUUAUAAUUAAGGCCAGCCUUGGUUAUAAACUAUUUUAGUUUCCCAUGGCUUUAUAUUGGACGUUAUGACCCGUCCAGCGGUAAACUGCCAGGACACUUUUAAUCUGUUGUAUGCAGGAACAGAUUCAACAUUGUUAAUAUCAUAAGCAUACGUGGCAUAUCUUAACAUGGCAAAUCAUCAGUGUCAUGCAAAGCAAAUAUGCGCGAUGGCAUAGCAGAUCAAGAGUUUAAGCUAGCCUAUUACAAGGCGUUUGGUGCCCAAAAGAAUACUUGUUUUAACAAGUCUUGCAGAAAGCAGAUGUUCAGCCAGCCUCCGGUUUAUGAAUCUUAGCCUGGUUGACUUGAAGGUUGUGGAUCAUCCAGCGCUGGUUCAUCUUCCUCUUCUCUACCCAGUGGCUGGAAGUCAAUAGUUGUCCAAUCGAUUCCAGUUAAGGCUUUGAAAGCAGCUUCAUCACUUAUAAGUGUGGAGGGGUCAAUAUCAGGAGCAUAAGUAUGCUUACGGAUUGGAGGAGUAAGACUUGGAGAAUCAUAAGCUGGCGCUUUAACUCUCUUGUUGUUGGCAUCAUAAAUCGACUGAUAAUGUGAAAGAUCGGUCUCUUCAGCCAAUUUGCUAGCCAAUGGGCGCAUUUCCCUUGUCAGGGCUCCGAGGUCAUCAAUAUUAAAGUCUGACCCGUCCUCCUUUAUGCUCGGAUAGUCGUUUCCCAAAUCGGCCGGAUCAAGAUCAGAUAUCCAUGCUUUUGCCCGAGUUAGUGCAGUAAGAGCACCCGCCCUGGCAGCUGAUUUCUUUAGUUCUUCAAACCGGGCAGGCAUCAUCGCCAGCCUUUCCAACGUCUCCUUGAUCAAGGUUGGGGGCGGUUUGUUAUGGGAAGCUGUGUAGAUAACCCGUUGUACGCCGGUAUAUAACUGCUCUAUAAGCGUAUAGGCGACUUUCUGUUUUUGCCGCAUAUCUGAGCCAAGAUGAGAAUGCGGGUUCCUGCAUCAUCAAAACGUCUGUAAACCGGAAGUUUAUUAGAUAAUACAUGUUUAAAGCUUAUGAAGAAGCUAUUUACCAAAAACGGCAGCAGUCAUGGCAUUUAUUUGCUGUUUCAAGCCAGUCAGCUCCUCCGCUAUCGGAUUAAGGGCCGCUUCAGCAUCCUCGGCCCACUUCAGCAGAGUUGACUUUUCUGUAUCCCAACCUGCCCGCUUGUUUUUGAAGCUUUCCUUCAGUUUUUUCAUUGCUGCUAAGGCACUGGUCAGUUCAUCCUUGGCCUUGGAAGUCUCUACUUGUUGCGAUUUGAUAUUUUCUUGAAGGUCGGUGAUUUGGGAUUCCUUCUUGAUAAGCUCAACCUGCAAGAGACAAGCAAUUUAUGAGACGACAGUGCAUAUUCAAAGUCCCAAGCACAUAACAAGUAAUAUACUUGGCACUUGGGGGCUAAUGUCUAUUGCUUCUUAUAAACCUUUUUACAAGUCCCAAGCCUAAUACAAGUAUUAUUCUUCACACUUGGGGGCUAAUGCAUGUUUGCUCAAGACUAUGGAUUGUUAUUUUUUCCAACCAUCAAUUAGGUGCUAAACCGGUUUAAGAAGGUUCUAAGAGAGAAUUUUGGGUCUUACAACAUCAUUUGUCUCAACUUAACAUAUUUGUUAAGUCGACCCUUGGGGGCUACACAGGCAAAUUUGAAGUCUUAUUAUUCUAAAGUCCCGGUUCAUAUUGAAGGGAUAAACCGGCCCUUGGGGGCUACACAGGCAAAUUUGAAGUGUUGUUGUUCUCAAAAGUCCCGGUUCAUAUUGAAAAUAUAAACCGGCCCUUGGGGACUACUGGAGUUGAUCUAUAUGGUUAUUGGAAGUUUCAGUGCAUUCUACUCUCUUAUGUCCAAUAAACUUGGCGGCUAAGGGAAGUAUAUUCAUACAAAGUCAACAGAAUUUACCUCAUACCGUUCCUUCGUCAGAUUUACUAAACUGGCUUCAUAGUUACGACUUGUAUACAGACGGUUUAAAAAGCCAGAAUGAAUAUCUUGGGAGCUGAGGUGGGCAUAGCUUUCCAAGUCUACCUUCCACUUGCCUUUAUCAACAGCAGAAAUUUCUUCUUUGGCGUUGUGUUUUGACAGAACAGUGGGGUUACCCGGGGCUGUAUAGCUAACACCAGUAACCACAACGUCGUCAGUCUUGUCAUCAGCAGCUUUAGUUGGGCUUGGCGAUUUAUCAGCAUUGCUCAUCGGGUCGACUCCCAUAGGCUCAGCAAAGACUGCAUGAUCUUGCGGUGGUGGAUCGUUAGGAGUGACUUCAGCAUUUGGAUUAGAAGGUUCCGGGGUUCUUUUCGGAUCAGAUGGAUUCAGGUCAUCAACCGGUUUAUUCAGUUUGGCCUUCUUGCUGGGUCUGGCCUGGGCCCUAAAAAAUGAGACGCAAAUAACAGGUUAGUAUAAUGAUCAAACAUAAGACAUAAGGAGUCAAAACAACAUGUUUACCCAGGAACAAUUUUGAGGGUUGGAAUUUGUGUUCCUGUUGACUCGCCAGAGGAGGAAUGAGAGGUCCCCUGAUAGUUUGAAUCAGACGGGUUAAGAGGUUGUCGAAAAUAACCCGCCUUGGGGUAAAGUAUGUCAGAAAUAUGUAAGACCUCUGGACGGCGUUUGCGAAGUGGAGUGUUUGGUAAAUCGACAGAGGUGAUCACGUUGUCGCUAUGCCGGGUCGUGCGGCGAGCUUCAUGUUGCUGUUUCUUCAAAAGAAAGUUUGGAUCCAAGUGAGCUAGAGGGUGAGAAAAUCUUACUUUCCGGCUUGCUUGACGGGUUUUCUGUGUUGGCAGAGGUUCUGAGCCGGAGGAAAGAAUAAUUACCUCUGCGUCACCAACAUGGCUAGCCUCUGCAUCAUCCUGAUAAUAGUCAUUGUCAAUGAGAUGUAUGAAAAAGGAGCCAAGUGAAUCAUGUUCUACCUCUGACUCAUGAUUAUCAUCGUCAUUGUCAAUGUUUAACUCGGUGGACUCGGCGGUUUUCUUUUUGGUGGGCUUCUUGUUGGCCUCAGUUUUGACACGAGGUGCUUUGGCCGGUUUAUCCUACGGUUUCCUCUUCCAGAAUGGAUCAUCACCCUGUUAAAAAUUGAAAAGAUCAUAAGGGAGUAUUAAGAAUAUGGAAUAAGCAGGAGUUGGGCAAUUCUUACAGCUGGCGGUUUAUUUGAAGCGCAGAAAGGACUACGCCCUGUUUUGCUGCACUCGGCCACUGGUUCAUUCAACAUUUUCUUGACGGCUUCAGUAAUUUUAGCGUUAGACAGCUGAAUAUCAGUGUGGCGUUGAGGGUCUUUCACGUCCCCUGUGUAUUCACACAUUAAGCCGGGGCGACGGCUUAAGGGCAAAAUACUCCAAGACACCCAGGAACGGACAAAAUCAACGCCUGUUAAACCGUUUGCCACAAAGGCUCUGAGCUUUGAAAGCUGUGGUGCAUACUUGGCCCGUUCCUUUGCACUAAGUCUUUGGGGGAGUGGAUGUGUACUGGUAAGUCGGUGAGCACGGUAACCUGGUAGAGGAUUCUCGCCAGCUGGAGAUGUAUCUUGGCAAUAGAACCAAGUUUGAUUCCAGUCUUUGGGGUGGCUAUGAUGGUUAGCGUGAGGGAAGCUGACAUCUUUUCUCUUUUGGAUUGAAACCCCACCAAGUUCAGUAUUGGGCCCGUCCACAAAUUCUGUACGGCGGUUUAAAUAGUAGAAAUCUCUGAACAGUUCGACCGUGGGCUCCUCUUGCAGGUAAGCUUCACAGAACACUUGAAAAUUGCAAAUAUUGGAUACAGAGUUAGGUCCAAUAUCUUGAGGGUGAAGUUGGAGGAAAUGAAGCACAUCAUGAUUUUUUUUAUCCGGGAGGGCUGAAUCCUCGACUCAGAUGGUCAACAAAAACGAUCACUUCCCCUUCCUUGGGUUCAGGAGGAUUUUCAGGACCAGGGGCUCUCUAGUGGAUGUUUUCCUUUUUGGCUAAAGCGCCAGUAGCAACACACCCGUUCAGCUCUUCUUCUGUAACCCGGGAUUGAACCCAGUUGCAGGAAUAAAAGGACUUGGCCAUUUAUUCGAUAACCUAGAAGAAGGUUUGUGUCGGUUUAAGAUUCAUGGAUAAUCCGCUAAAGGUCAAAAGGCAGAAAGUGUUGAAGCAUGCAAAAGUGUUAAACUGGAGAUUGACGUUAUCAAGUUGCAGAGAUGAGCAAUUGGCGGUUUAAGAGGGGACUCAUGGUACCUGGCGGGUUAUUAUUUUCUGAGUUAAACCGCCUACACAGAUAUUGAAAGUACAUAUCUGAAGUUGGAAAAUGACUAAGUGAUGAAAAACAGUUUUCACAAAUUGAUAUCACAAUUUUGGAUCUACCGCGUGUCAGAAAAUGAAAAUAUAUUCAAACCUAAAUAUUGGUACUUGAACAGUUUAUAAAGGUCCAGAUUGGAUUCUCUACCUAAAAAGAGAUGCUCUGAUGAGGAAAGGACUAUGGCUAUUGCCGCACAGGAAAAUAUCAAGUUUGAAUAAAAAAAUUCAUGCUACAGUGAAGAACAAGUGAAGAACAGUGCUGAACCUCCAUGAGCUCGUACGAACCCUAAUGAGAUCUACGGAGGGGGAAGGAGGAAGAACUUACCGAGGCUGCUGGAGCGGCGGAGGCGUGCGAGCGAGAUCUGGACUAAUCAGGUUGAUGCAGCGGCCAAUGGUGAUGCAGAGGAGAGGAUAGACGGCGGCGGCUGGGCUCGAGAGCAACACGUCGCGAGGAAGAUGAUGAAGACGAAGAGGCUGGGGAGAAAGUGAAAAGGACCCCUGGCCCUAUUUAUAAGGCGAAUGGAUAAGUGGCAUGCGCGGGAAUCGAGGAGCUACAAAUUGGAUACGUAACAGGGCCGACGCCUCGAUUUUCGGAGGUUCAUUAAAAAUGAGGAUGUAUAUAUGAUUUUGGAUUUGUAUAAAAUUAAUGGCAGGUGACGUCAUGGCGGGUUAUCAUGAUCUCAGAAGAUGACGUCACGACGAGUUAUAAGCUUCGCGAAGGCAAUGAAGAAGGAACUUUUCUAAGUGUUGAAGAUUGACAUGAACAAGUUCAAAUCAACCUGGGGCCUAAUGUUGGGGAUAUAGCUACUGAGUAUAAACCGCCCGGGAGGGGCCGGGUUAUGCUCAUGGUGAUUUACCAGUAUUGAAGCCCAUGAAGACAUAGAAGAUGGCGACUUACAAAGGAGACUUAAUAAGAAGGCCCGAAGCCCAAAGGCGGGUUAGGGCCCAUAGAUGUAAACCGUCGUAGGUGUAUGACUUGUAUUAUAAGAUAGGAAAGAGUGGAUACCGAGCCGGACACGUUUAUGAGCCGGACGGGAUUCUGUGAACCGCCGGGCAUCAACCUGUGUAUAUAAAGGGAUGACCCGGCGGCGGUUUAGGGACAAGAAACAACAGAUCGAGAGCCAGGCUAAGCGUAUUCGCUCCCUGGUCAUCGAAACCCUAGCAAUACCACCUCACACUGGAUUAGGCCUUUACCUUCACCGCAAGGGGCCGAACCAGUAUAAAUCCCCGCGUCCUUUGUCCCGAUUAAACCCUCUAAGCUAAUCUCAUUGCGAUGGCUUCACGACUAAGUCCUCACACUAGGACAUCUGCCGUGACAAACCCACGACAGUUACGGUGGGUGGUCGGGGGCCGAGCGCUGCGUGUUUCUCUCGUACACGUACGCGCGUGUGUGCGAGGCGUUGGGCUCUAACUGAACCCGAGCGAGGCGUUGAUCCUAACUGAACCCGAGCGAUUGCACUAGCUAUGUUACUGAACCCCGAUCGAUCCCUUGCUGUUAACUGAACCCGAGUGAUUCCUUCGCUACUGCUGCUAACUGAAGCCGAUCGAUGCUGCCUCUGGAUGAACAGUGAGCGUUGUUGGGGGGGGGUUGGAUGAACAGUUCCCGGUGGGGGGUUGGAUGAACAGGACCCCGUGGUAGUAGAGGCCGUUGUCACUGGAUGAACAGGACCCCGAUCGAGCCGGUUGGGGGUGGAUGAACAGGACCCCGUGGAGGGCUGGAUGAACAGGACCCCGUGGAGGGCUGGUUGAACAGUAGCCCGUGGAGGCGUGGUUGAACAGGACCCCGUGGAGGUGUGGUUGAACAGGACCCCAUGGAGAGGGCUGGUUGAACAGUAGCCGGUGGAGGAGCGGUGGAGGCUGGAUGAACAGGAGCCCAUGGAUGAACAGUCGCAGGUGGAGGCUGGAGGAGGUCGACGGUGGAUGAACAGUAGUCCGUGGAGGCUGGAGGAGGUCGACGGUGGAGAUGAAAAGUAUCCCGUGGAGUCUCGUUUUGCGGUACGCCACACCCCUCCCGAUCAACAGGACCCCGUUUCGACCAUAGGAGGUCCAAGAGAAGUCCGUUUCCUCCGUUUUGCGGUACGCCAGACCCCUCCAGAUGAACAGGAUCCCGUUUCGACCAUGGCCAGUCGAACACAAGGCCGUUUCCUCCGUUUCGCGGUACGCCAGGCCUCAUUUCGAUCGGCCGUUCCGUCCAAGUCGGUUGGCUCCCGAUGAACACGACGUAUUCCGUUGCCUCCCGAUGAACACGGCGCAUUCCGUUGCCUCCCGAUGAACACGACAACGAUGCAGUUUCUCCGUUCCGACCCAGCCAUGUACACGAGCCCUGGCCGUACGUAUGCGCGAGUAGGCGUUCGAGACCCCGCCCGUAUGUACGUAUGUGGCUAUAUUUACUUUCUUGCACCCUGGCUGCUGUACGUACAUGUACACGAUAUUAACGGGACUACGUGACAUGCUACGUGCGUGCCUCUACUACGACAUGUGCGCGCCUCUACUACGACACGUGCCCUUCCUUACACGGCCACGGUUCAUCGUUGCAGCCUGCCGACAGACCGAUCGACCAGUAUGUAUGUACACGUUCACGACCAGAAUGACAACGUUACGUACGCUUCGACCAGGUGGGUCCCGACUAUCAAGCACUUCCUUGUGUGCGAAGAUGUAGCUGGUAGGUCCCAGCAGUCAGGGGGCGAAUCAUUUUUUUGCCCGUAAUAUGGACGCACUUCCUUGCGUGCGAAGAUGUAGCUGGUGGGUCCCAGUAGUUAGGGGGGAAACGUUUUUUUCACGAAAUACGGUGGCCCGUCCUGUGGGUCCCUGCUGUCAGGUGGAUGAAUCAUUUUUUCCGCGUAAUAAGGAGGCACUUCCUUGUUGCGGGCGUGGACCCACCUGUCAGCCUCUCCAUGUACAGUAAUCUUCCGAUGGAAGUCGUUCCUUGACCACGUUGAGCACGCCGCGCCGAGAGCACCAGGGCGGUGGACAACGGCGAGGCCUAGGAAGGGGACGACGCGGAGCCGGGAAAGACGCGGCAGUGGAUGCCCACGUGGAGAGGAGUAUGAGGGUUCACUGGUUCGGCUGCGGUGUGAGGCUGCCGUCGCCGCAGGGCCUGGCCAGCGGUGGGAAUAGUAGGGGGUGGUGAGGCCUCCGCGGCAGCACAGCCGACCACGGGAGGCAGGAGCAUGCGGCACGAACCGUGCUGGUUUGGGCGGCUGGAGCAAGAAGACCAGAGGUUGAAGAAGCACUACAGCCGUUGGAUGGACAUCAUACGGUCACUGGAGCUAGAAUCGUUCAUAUUGACUAAGUUGACAAAGCCCUCUAUCCCCGUCAACUUAGUAGGCCCACAAGUCAGCCUCACACUAUGGUGGGUCCCAGCUAGCAGGGGGAGUAUUCAUUUUUUUGUGCGUAAUAAGGAGGCACUUCCUUGCGUGUGAAGAUAUAGCUGGCGGGUCCGAGCUGUUAGCGGGGGGGGGGGCAUUUUUUGCGAAAUAUAGAGGCCCUUCUGGUGGGUCCUAGCUGUCAGGUGGAGGAAUCAUUAUUUUGCGCGUAAUAAGGAGGCAUUUCCUUGUGUGCGGCCGUGGACCCAGCUGUCAGCCUCUCCACGUACCGUUCACUUCCGAUGGAUGUCAUUCGUUCACCACGUUGACCAUGCCGUGCCGAGAGCACCAGUGCGGUGGACGACGGCGAGGCCUAGGAAGGGAAUGACAAGGAGCCGGGGAAGACGCGACAGUGGAUGCCCACAUUGAGGGGAGUAUGAGCGCUGACUGGUCGGCUGCGGGGUGAGGCUGACGUCGCCGGAAAAUAACAGGAUGUGCGGGUGGGUAGAGGGAUGGCCUGGCGGCAGCACAGCCGGCCACGGGAGGAGGGAACAGGCAGUCCCACCGGCGCUGGUUUGGGCGGCUGGAGUAGGAAGAUCAGAGAUUGAAGAAGCACGGCAGCCGUUGGAUGGACAUCCAACAGUCACUGCUCUGUGUUGACUAAGUUGACAAAGCCUUGCGUACGCGUCAAAUUUUUUCUAGGACAGCGUCAUCAUGAACCUAGUAGGCCCAGAAGUCAGCCUCCAAAUCUAUGGAAAAAAGCAUACAACCCAUUAGCCAUUACUUUCAAUAAUUUACAGCCCGUUUGCUAAUUCUUAAGGAUAUUUUGAAGCCCAUAUUCUUUUUAUUAGCAUUAUAGACCAUAUAUUCUGGGCACUGCUAAAAAAUUCAACGAAAAUUUUCAUAUUUUGGUGGGGUCCGAACUCUUUUAAUCACGAAAUUUUGAGUCACUUUAAAAAUAAUUUAAAAAAAAUUAUAUCAAAAAAAAUUUCAAAAAAAAUCUCCGCCAAAAAAUGAAUGAAAUUUAAAAUAUUUACUAGCAAGAUGCCCGUGAGUUGCAUGGAACAUGAAGAUGCAUUUGUAUGAGUAGUCAGCCUCUCCACGUACAAUCAUCUCCUGAUUCCUCUCGGUUGUUGACAAUGUUGACAACGCCAGAUGACGGCGGGCACAGCGAGCGAACCAAGGCGGAGAACGACGGCGAGGCAUCGGACGGGAACGAACCGGAGCAGUGGAAGGUGCGGCAGUGUAGUGGCAGGCGGAGGGUAGUACGAGGGCAACAACAUGUAACUGAAGUUUACAAACAGUACAAAAAGCCCAAGGAUUAAUUGUUCAUCAAAUUUAGACAAGACCCAGAUUGAACAUGGCAAUAACAUCUAACCCAACCACUCUUUUUCGUAGUCACAAACAAAUGGAUCGGUCUGAUCCAUAAAAUCAACAUCCUGUGCAAAAAAAUUAUUGGAGGAUGACUACAAGUUGUUGUAAAUAGAAGCCGAGCAUGUUCAGAAGCCCAUUUGUCCACCUGAAACUUCUUUUUUUGCUGUUCAACAUGUCCGUCCGUGAGAAAUCUCUUUACGAAAAACUUAAGCCUCAUGGACAAUAGUAACCUCGCAUUCAACAGGAAGAAUGUGACAAAGCUUCUGUUUGCUUGGUUGGAUGCAUAUCCAUCCAUCGUUAUUGUCCUCAAACGAAUGUCAUGAGAACUGAGAAAAUCCUGGUGCUUAUUACGCCACCGAUUGGUUAUACGUUUUUCUCCAUGUGGUAGCAGUGCCUAAGUAGACAUGAAGAUUGAAAAUAGUUAUGGUCUGAAAAAAGAGUAUGUCGAAAGAGCGACAGCUGAACGGUUAAUUCUAGUACAAUAUAUACGGGCUUUCAAUGUGCAUGAAAUCGUCACCUUUCUAUAUAAAUUCUCCAAAGAUCGGAAGCAUCGCAGAAAGCCAGUAAUUAUAUUCAGAUCAAAACUAAACAUUCCGAUAUAUAAGAUCUUGACAGAAUCCAGCAGCAUUGAUAGGCUAUCCAUGGAUGAACUCUUCAUUGAGCAUAUAACAUAAUAUUAGUACCCAAAGUGUACUCCAAGAUGAUAUAAAACUUAUGCGCACAAAUGAAAAAUGCAGCUUAUGAUUACAAAUGUGUAGAUGAUAAUAUACCGUACCUGAAAAAGUGAGGAGCCAAACACCAACUUCCUGUGAUCAUUAAACGGAUCACGAAUUACACCCAAGGUCUCCAGUUUGGGCGCAGAGACGACAGUUAUUUGCGAAGGUUUUAUAACAAUCAUCAAGGAGCAACCUUUGAAGUGAAGGGGCAUCUUCGAUGAUGAGUUGCUGUCCUUUAAAACAAAUUCCAAUGCUUUUAAGGUGAGGCGACUUUAUUUGGAGACAACUGAUAGGGAUUUCUGUUCCCAAAACAAUCAGCAAGCGCUCCAGGGCAGGUCAAUUGGAGUGGAUGAUGCUGUGCAAUGAGGCCUCGGACAGAUAAACCACCACAAGCGAAAGUUUUUUUAGCAGUGGGAGUCGAAGCAUUUGUACCAGAUCAUGUGGUAGAUGGCACUGGGCGAAGGUGGCGGUGUGGAGAGAGGAGGAAAACUACGAGAUGGACAACAGUGGUGUGGGCACAAAUUCUUGGUGUGUUCGUGGUACGAAACUUUCAUGGUAAUGGUAGAACUCAAACUGCUGGAGUUUUCUGAAUUCAGGGGAUGUCAGCCAAGCGUCCACCGUGUAAGGUAUUGACAAUAGGUAAUGUGUCAGGAUGCAGAGGCGUUGAACAAGGCCCUGCUGGUGAGAGGAGACGAUGGCUCUAAGGAGAUGAAAUUCAGGAAGGACAGAAAUCUGACGACAGACGAGAUUGAGGGGCGCGGUGCGCCAUAUCGGGCGCCACCGAGUUGAGAGGACUUGUGUGCGGCAGCAAUCCUUGGUGGGGAGAAGCGAGAUGAUCUCCUCGAGGAUGACGUCCGGGAGAUUGCUGAUGCGGUCCACCGGAGAUUCUACCGGUUCCUCAGAUCCGGGUGUGGAGGGGGGGCUCGCUGCCUCUCCCCGCGCUGCCGGGUGCGGGAUCUACAACCGGCGUCACCGCUGGUGAGAGCCUCAUCUUCUUGGCGCUGGGGCCAGCCGACUCCAUUUUCCUUGCAGGCGUCGCGCCGAGCUCACGGGUUUGAGCAGAGUAGCCAGAGACAAGCCUAGUGGCAGUCCGAGUGGGGAAGGAGGGUUGGGGUUUUUUGUAUGAGUGGAAGAAGAGGAGCAGUUGUUUUCUAUACGAGUGAGGUAGAAGGUGAGCAUGAGUUUUCUGGACGAGUGAGGAAGAUGGGGAGCAGGGGGAAUUGGGGCGAGACAGAAGCGGGAGAGCGAGUUGCAGUAUAAGUGGAAGCGAGGAGGAAGGAGGGUUUUUCUGGGAUCGCCCCCUCUUCAAGAAAUAUGGGCUUCUUCUUGCAAAAAACAAAAACAAAUGGGCUUUAAGAUGGAUAGGCUUUUGUAUCGGCCCAGUCGGCUGCCCGUGUUUCGUACUGGAGGGCCUUGUGCUAGAGGCAGCCCGAGACACUCUCCAGCUUAUUGCCCAUUCGAAAGAAAAGAAGAGACGCCUCCAGCUUAUGGCUACUCAUCGGUAACCUUUUUCAACUUGGCAUCCACCAAAUUAGAGGAUGCGGUACUGGAUGCAGACACUCACACUGGUCGCGUAGCGCGGCAAAGUGAGGUGUCAACUAACAGGCCUACAAUAUACUUACUAGAUUGUGAAGGUUCACAUGCUAGUCAACAUUCACAUUAAACUAAGCUUCAGAAGAUACGGUAUGCAUACUAACAUUCAAAAGAACAAAAGUUCAGCAUGUUUAUGCAUCUCAAUGAUUCACCAUACUAUAACCAAUACAAAGGUGUAAGAAGGUGUGGAAAUAAAGAAAAUCGGUCGAUGCUUCUUUGAGAAAAGGGCCUCCCUGCGCACGCAUUAAUUUCCUGGGCAUGCUUGUUUCUUCUCAAUGUUGCGAGCACUUUGAGCAUGUUGGCAACUCCACAACUAGCUAGCUGCCUCAUCUUGCAAUUGAUGCUGACACAUUUGCAGAAAACACAUGAGGCAAUAGAGAUGACUCAAUAUGAGUCCAUAUUGUGCAGUUCCCCUGAAAUCAUCUUCAUUGUCCUGAAUCUGAAAAGAUAGGAAAACAAUAGCUAUACUUAAACGGUGUUGCAAAACAUUAGCACAUAUCAAUAGCUCGGCAUGACAAAACACGAUCAUCUGGACGAAGGGGAUACUGACCUGCCUAAGGAAGAUUAUAUAUAAUUUCAUAAGUCCUUAGUUGAUUUCCACCUUCGGCUGCACUGCUUGUUUGCUCCUCCACACAUGACAGGAUCAUCCGGCACUGCAAUCAGCAAGUCAACGUAUGAAUAAGCUUAUUUCAUCUUGCGGUGGUCAUUGUACCUAGUUACGAAUGUAGGAAUACCUGGAGCACCAUGAAGUUAGCUGACAGCAGGUAGAUACAACCAUAUAAUUUUGUGCGGUGCUACCAAAAUUGAGGUUUGUAUCCCUUCCCGUUAUGAGAAUUCUUCUUGAAGUUGGUAGAAUGUGAUGGCUUGUUCUUUGCAUCAAACUUGCCUUUCCCCUGAGAUUUGUUCUUGUUGUUUUGGGGCUGGUUGGGCUGGAAGUUCUUCUCGUGUACCAUGUGGGCACUAGAAGCUCCCUCAACGACCCGAGCACGUGUGUAUUUUUCUCUCGCCUUCUCUUCAAAAUCAAGAGUGCUAAUGAGAUCCGAAACGGAAAACUCAUGUCUCUUGUUUUUCAGAGAAGUAGCAAAAUUGUUCCACGAAGGUGGAAGCUUGGAAAUGAUGGUCCCAACAACAAAUUUGUCCGGCAACACACACUUAAAGUACUCAAGUUCCUUAGCGAGUGACUGUAUCUCAUGAGUCUGCUGAACAACAGAGCGCUCAUCAGUCAUCUUGUAGUCACAGAAUUGCUCCAUGACGUACAAAUCAUUGCCAACGCCCGAGGCCCCAAACGUGGCCUCGAGCGCAACCCACAUGUCUUUGCCGCUGUCAAACGACAUAUAUGAAUCCACAAUGGAAUCAUCAAGAACACUCAGCAUGGCGGCUUUGAAGAGGGUAUCCAUGUUCCCAAAAGCUUCCUGCUGUGUAGGAUUAAGAUCGCCCUCAGGCUUACCCUUAGUGGCGUCAUAGCAGUACAUGAUCCGAAACCAAUAUACUGCUCUUGUGCGCCACCUUUUAUAUUGCACCCCCUUAAAAGUAGGCGGCUUCAAAAGCGCAGCAAAACCACUCGGAGUAAAUUGCCUAUAAUUAGGUUUUUGGAUUGGGUUGUUGAAUAUAUGAUCAAUUUACUAUGAGAUUUAAUCCGAAUCAACAGUAAAUAGAUCAUGACGACAAUUGCAAAGAUCAAAGUAAUGAUGCGGACUAAACCAGGAGGACAAAAUCACAUACUGUAUAGCGGGAGCAGAACCGCUGUGGUUGAUGUUGUCACUCAUGUCAUUGAUGAAGAGGUUACCGAGGUCGGGGAAGAAGGUUGUCAUUGAGGAAGUCGUCGCUGGCAGCAGUCACAGGAGUGUGCUCCCCAAAAACCUGAUCGCCCCUCUCCCGUACAGGAUCGGGAAAGGCGGGGUUCGGAGGACUGCUGUCCCUUCUCGCGGUGCACGCCGAAAGGAGGGCUGGAGAAGAAUUGUGUGGCGGCGCUAAGAUCUGGAAUGGUGCGAAACCAUAUGAUACAGCGGCAGCCAGGGUAGAGCCUGUCAGGUCGGUCGUGCGAGUAAGACCAAGUAUAAUAGUAGGCCUUUGGCCCAAACCCCACGUCCAAGUCAAUAAUAGCCCCACUAUCCAAAAGAAUCAGAAACGGCUGAGUAAUUAAGGCGUCCGUUAAUUAUUAAUUAAUGACUUAAUAAAUUUUCCGACCAACCAAAAUAUAGACCACGUGCAUAGCUUUUGUCCUUGGACUGGCUCAUUCCCGAAGAGCGUGCGUGUAGGUUUCCUAUUAUCAUGCUCAUGCAAAUGCUAGAAUAGAUCACAUUAUAAAGUGGUGCAACUCACACUCACCUAGCAGUAUGGGACUAAACUUUAGUCUCACUCACACCACACUUAGAGCAUGGUUAAUAGUAUAGCCAACAUCCGGCUGUAUGAAGUUGACACAUCAUCUAGAACCAACCUAAUAGCCUGCUAGUACAAUAGUUAGUCCCUUUAGUAUAAUACUAUAUCAUUAAUAAUGGCCCCACCUUUUGUCUCACAAAGUAUGUUGGAGCUCCUGCUACAACCGGCUACAAGUUUACAACCCGCUUCUCUUCUCUCUCCUCUUCUCUCUCCUUCAACUAAGCACAAAUACUAUAUUUAAAUCCUUAUAGCCUGCUUAUGUCAUCUAAGAGCAAGUAUAAUAAGGUGACGUAGGCGGGCUGUAAGAUUUUAAAUAUUACUCCUAUAUCUUUGCUGAGUUGGAUGAAAGAGAAGAGGAAAGAGAAGGUAAGCGGGCUGUAGAUUUACAGCUGGCUGUAGCACAGGCUCCAAGAAACUAUGUGAGAGUGUAUGAUGGGCCAUGUGGUAGAAAAGUAGUACUUUCUUGUAGCCCACUACUAUACAUGUUGGUUAUUACAUUGGCUAUAGACGACAUGGCAACAUGUUAUAGCCAUCAAUCGGCUAUAUUAUUAGCCAUGCUCUAAUUGUAGUACUUGCUCUAAAGUUACUCUCCACUGUGUAGUCUGAAAUGUCGGGCGUGCAGCGGGCGGUGCCCUCGGUCGACGCGCCGCUUCAACGGCGGAAGCAGUGAGAGGUUGCGUCGCCCUGACUUGCCAUCAAUGUGGAGCGGCGGGCUCAGCUCGCGCCGGGCGGGAAGCGCUCGGGGGAGGGGGAGGGGUUUUUGGUGGGCCAAGAAGGUGAGAAGCAAACUUGGGAUCGGUCCGGACGGGGAAAUAUCAUGUGCUCCCAUACUCACUAGUUUCAUGCAUAUGACACUAGUCUAUGUUACUAGUAACAUACUAAUGUUAUUAUGGCUUCAUUUAUUAGCUUGUAGACUCAUCUUGUCUUGGGAAACGCUAUGUUACAGUAACAUAUUAUGUUACCACUUCUCAUUAACUACUUGGCACAUAAGCAAAAGUUUCUUGGAGUGCGCUAAGUUACUCCCACUAUAACUAGCUGUACAAACUAUGGGCUAUGUAGAGUGCGUAGUAAGCAAGCUUCUCAUCAUUCUGCGAGUUGACAUGACACAUCAAAGUAGUAGUUUUUUUUUCAAAAUGUACAUCAAAGUACCAGUGUAGUAGUCUCCAAAAAGGGCCGACCAUGUCCAUGGCUACCAUCCCAUCCCGUUCUCCGUCAUUGAGUAUGUGCACGAUUCACGUGCCAUUCAAGAAAAAAACUGCGUAUGUUCCAUUGAAGAAGAAAAAUUAAAAACAAACACGCCACGGCGUCAUGGUCGAACUUUGAUUCGUCCACGCGUGGUUCCCGACCCUCCACUAAGUGAACAACUACCAAACGUGUCAAAUUAUCACGUGAGCUGCCUCUUCGUCGAGAAAUGAGCUCCACCGUGUACCCGCGCGCGUGUGUUAGGGAAUGAGGCAUAGAGUACGUGCGUCCGUGUGUGCAAUUUUUCUCUUCGUGCACGUACUCCUUUUUUUGUGGGUGAUUUGUGCACGUACUCGGCCUACGUUGGUGACCGUUGGUGAGUCUCACUUAUCUCUACAUCUCAACAUGUACAUCUACAUCUGCAUCUACAUCUACACUACAUCUACAUCUACCUCUACUAUAGUACAACAAGUUUUAAACAUGAGACCAGCCAUUUUCUUGCAUGACACGACCAACCCGUAUCACUUCUUGCUCCUCGUCUCUCUCAAAGUGCGUCCGACAGGCGAUUUUGCCGUUGAUUGUGGUAGGUUCGCUCACACUCGGUCCCACAUGUUAUAAAUCUAAAAAGAAUACUUUGACCAGCGGACCAUUGAAAGAAGUAUAUUUUUCACCCUCAAAUGUAAGUUGAUGGACAAAUAACCCCCCAAAGUCAAUUUUGGUACAAUUUUUACCCUCAAAUCUCUAAAACCGGACAUAUCACCCCCUUGAGCGGUUUUAGUGUCCACAUGUUAAAGUUUAGACGAUUUUGAUUGUUGACUAGGAAUUGACUAAUUAUUUACACUAAUGAAAUGUCAACGACACCGUCGGAAGCUGCGGAUGUCGUCAGAGAUGUACCCAAUGGACCUCGACCUUCCCUACGAGGAGAGGAGAUCAUGCGGGUGCCUUUCAAGCUCAAGGGGUCGUCGGGCUACCUCGUCGGCUCGUCGCCCGCCUACCUCUGGUCCUCCCAGAGCCUCUAUCAUUGUCGCGCAGCUCACGGUGGUGCUCAUUUGCAGGUGGGUGCUGCUAGCUAGGAGACAUAGUUGAGUUAAUCGAGCCCUACUUGAAAAUCAAUUGUGUCCUUGGCCUAAGCUCCGCCACUACUAGAAGAAAACUCCCGCAGAGGAGGUCGAUGAGAGGCA